rnacentral:lncRNA from 1 species
AAAAACAAUGUUGAAUACGACUAAAUGCUGAUGUUUCUUUCUGUCUAUUUUUAUCCUCCCUGUAACGCGGAUUUACACACUAGGCUGCCCCAAACAAGUCACAGGAUCUCAUGUACUGAUCCUCUUGUUUCUCCAGAAAGUCUUCAAUAUUGUUAUUAUAGACACAAACUCCGGUCAUAAUUAUUAAUUAAGCAAACAAGUUAAUUGGAUGUUACAUGAAAAAGCAACACAUGCCUAAAGAUUCAUAGCACUCAAAUGAGCCACAAAAAAACUCUUCAUGGUGUGCUGCAUCAAUGAUCAUAAUAUUCUGAAUAUGCAACCCACUAACUGUCUUCCAACUGUCUGUUACCAAGCAAGGCAAUCAUGGGCUGUACGCACCUAUAGCUUUCUCAAGUUGUUGAUCAAUGCGCUCAACUGUUUCAUGGUAUAUCUCAUCCAAGAAGUCUUCACGCAAAGCCUUCAGCAAAGGCAAAGGAAACAUGGAACCGCAUUGGGCAUGUCUACCAACUACUAGGUUGAAUGCUCUGGCCUUGAUGUAAACUCCAAAUGCAUACUCCUUCUACCAUGCCCUAAGUUCUUCAGGGGUCAACACCCUUCCUGUGAUUCCUUUGAGAGCUACUGUUUCCUGCAAGAUACGACUUGUUGAACUUGUCUGAGGCCAUGUAGUAGACACUAUUAUAUCAAUUUGAUUCCCAGCUGCACAUAAACGACCCAUAGAGAUGCAGCCAAUUGUAGCUAACUCAAUCUCUCGAACCUACUGCUGCAACCGCUCUGCAUCAAGUUGGUCUUCACCCUCCAAACAUUCUAUCCAUUCCCAUGCUUUGUUGUCAUUACCACUCAGAAAGGCAAACAUGUUCAAUUUUGGCCUGCGUUCAAUACUCCCACUAACUUGAGGAGUUGAUAUUGAUCCUCCAACACUGAAGGCAUCUUCAUCCAAUUGCUGUGACCCUGAAGCUCCUUGAUUGCUGAACUGUGUCAUUCUACUAUUGCCAUGUUGUUCGAACUCUGCAAGCUUGAUGUUGUAUGUCUCAAUAUUGUUCCUUGUUAUAGACACAAACUCCUCACUGAACUCUUGUAUUGGCCUGUGACGCAAACUUAUGUCAGCAGUGCAGCAACCUGUGUCCUCCUUCUCCUUGUAGAAGCUGCAAAAAUGCCUCCUAAUCCUCGUACGUCCAAUUCCCUUCACGGGACCUUUGCAUAAGACACACCUAACCACUACCUCCCAACUAGCUUUGUCAGUGCUGAAACAUUGAGGAUCCGCCUCAGUGUUUUCCAAAUUCCUCUCCCUGAGUGCUAAAGGAUCACAAAAGACGUAUUUGCAAACGGUUUAGGGCCGAAGGCCUACCAAGUCUGCCUCUGGGACUCGGAGGAUGAUGAGGGUUGGUCUUUUGCCCUUGGAUCCCUCUCUAUUCUCCCUUGCAGCCUCGCCCUAUUCUCGCAGCAGCACUAUCCUCAACACUUGGCCAAGGGUUUACCCCGUAGAACACAGCAACUUGAUCAUUUACAGCCAAAGCAAGCCCCUCUCCGAUCACGGUGUCUCCUGAGGCUACACCCAAACCAAGCCCCUCACCUAUCACGGCUUCUCCCGAGUCUGCUCCUGCAAAUGGAUUGAUGGAGGCUCUUACCUUGUUCACCCUCCCACAGCGUAGUUGCAGCCACGCUGUGUUGCUGUAGUAUUUCGCCCUUGCCACCCUGACAUCGAAACAAAAAAGGAGAGGAUGGGAGAGAAAUGGUGCUACUGGCCCUAAGGCUAAACCUUUUGUGUUUCUUCUCACCCAAGCUAAAGGAAUUUAAAGAACCCGCAAGUUACUUGAAUGAAAACCCUUGAUCCAUGUAUGUCAGUAAUAGCCAUGACAACUUGAAUAUGCAUCGAAUCAUUAUUGAAUCUUUUCUUUAGUGGGGUUAAAGGUUCAAGGGUUAUGCUUAAUUAAACGGUCAUAAUUAUUCAAAAUGCCAAAAAGUAGCUUUGAAUAAAACUCUACCAAAACCCAUUUCUACACCAUGGCAAUCGCAUUUGCAAGGGAGAACACUAGAGUAAAUAUUAAAACCAUGGGCUUUUGCUAUUGUGUGGCAAGAGGAGCAGUAGGAGCAGCAGCAGCAGCAGUAGCAGUAGUAGGAGCAGUAGGAGGUGUAGCCUGCUCCUUUAGUUGUGGCUGCGGGAUUUGGGCCGUUGGCAACUGGAUGGGGCCUGCUGCCCAUUGACUAACCCUUUCUUAGAUAACUCGGAUGAAAAUAACCAAGUGCAACUGUCUGGAGAAUAGCCAAUGGCACCAAUACCCAUUGCGAGAAGAUCGUCCUAACGCGGUCAACAAGUCCCAAGAUCCAUGGCCAGAGAACCUUACCAAUCCAUGGUGAGAAUGCCUGUGCCAGGGAGGAGGCAAGAGUGAAACCUAAGGCUCCGACACUGAGCCAAAACCACCGAGACUCCGUGAUCUUGUUAUUGCUCAACCUGCCAAGAUCGAUGCUGCCUCCUCUCGCUUUAUGGCCAAAGAUAUCGAUAACUGCCGCCUCUUGUUGAGAGAUAGAAAUCAGGAAUGAAUCUAGCAAGAAGGAAGUAAAGAAGAGCAACAACAAUGCUGCCACCCUCAUCCUUAGGGAUUCCACAAACAAGCUCUUUUUAAGAUAAUGGAAAAACUAAACCAACAAAAGCAUGCCCGUCUCUUUUAUGUGUGUUUUGUCUCUAUGGUCUCUUUUUUCCUUCUCUCGCAACAUUAUGCUCUCAAUCUCUCGAUCAUGAUGAUUACUCUCUCCUUACCAUGGUCCCACUCAUAGUCUCUCUUUUUCCUUAUCUCGAUGAGAUUGGGAAGCUCUAGUGCUCAGCAAUGGUUUCGAAAACUGCAGCAAAAAUCCCAGCAAUAGUUAGCAAAAACUGCAAUUAAAAUACUGCAAAAAUGCCGUAGCUUUUUUAGCUAAGCGCUCUUUGUGGUUCUCUUUUACUUUACUCCUAGUUCCUCCAAUGCCAAGGAAAUCCAAUCCUCAAAAAGUGCCACAGUUUUGAAGGUUUCAUUGUGAACUUUUCUUUGCUACAUAUGUGAAGGAUAACUUACUGUGAAGGAAAGGAAAAAGCAAUAGCUGCAUCAAGAGCUGGUUUCACAGCAGCUCAAGACUUUGCUUGUUCUUCGGUGGAGUGAAGGUUUCUGUAACUUUGAUUGAUGUGCAUCAUAAGAAAAAACCAGUGUUUUAUUUCGGCUGCCAAAAAGCCAUUUAAAAUGGCUUUUUGGCAUAGAAAAUGUUAAGCUUUUAUACAAAUUAGUGUCAUCUGAAAAGUCUAUCGCCGACAGCAGCUAGGCCAACAAUUUCCUUAAGCAGCCUAAAAAUUUUAAAACGGCACGUGCGUGCCAACUUGAUUAUGAAUCAACAAUGUUAAUGUUAGGCAAUUCAUGAAAAAUUUCAAGUGAUGCUAGUUGUUGCUCUAAACUGCUAGUACUGGGCUGGUCCAAAUCAGUUAACAAACGGAUUUUCCUUUUUUUGACUACAGUGGCACUCAAAUCUCCCUCAUUUAGAUGUUUGCGCUUGAAAGGAGGAGGCAUGGGAGAUGCAGGUAAGAUCUCCACACCAAUUAUCUGGUCCAUGUCGUCCCUAGGACCACUAAUCUCACUGUCAUUGCAUAGUAUUGCAUACUAUCAACCUGGAUAGAAGUAAACAAAGAAGCUUACCUCCCAUGAGCUAACCUAAGACCAGAAUCCUAGUUGAAGUCAUCAUCUUCAUCUUCAGGCAUGGAAUCAUCAGUGUAAACUUUCGCAUAGGACCUGAAACCUAUGGUUGUGUGGCAUGUGCCAUUGUCUCCUACAACUAGAGAGUCGUUCUCUUUUGGAAUAUCAAAUGCACCCAAACUAGGCCCCUCUUCGAUCACGGCUUCUUUUGAGUCUGCUCCUACAAAUGGAUUGAUGGAGACUCCUACCUUGUUUGCCCUCCCAUAGCCGCAGCUGCGGCCAUGUUGUGCUACUGCAGUAUAUCGCCCUUGCUGCCCUGACAUUGAAACAAAAAGGAGAGAGUGAGAGGACAGGAGAGAAAUGGUGCUACUAGCCCUAAGGCUAAACCUUUUGUGUUGCUUCUCACCUAAGCUGAAGGAAUUCAAACAACUUGCAAGUUGCUUGAAUGAAAACCCUUGAUCCAUGUAUGUCAGUAAUAGCCCUGACAACCUGAAUAUGCGUUGAAUCGCCGUUGAAUCUUUUCUCUAGUGGGGUUAAAGGUUCAAGGGUUAUGCUUAAUUAAACGGUCAUAAUUAUUCAAAAUGCCAAAAAGUAGUUUUGAAUAAACCUUGCCAACACCCAUUUCUACACCAUGGCAAUCACAUUCACAAGGGAGAACACUAGAGUAGAUAGCAAAACCAUGGGCUUUUGUUAUUGCGUGGCAAGAGCAGUAGUAGGAGGCGCAGCUUGCUCCUCCAAUUGUGGCUGCGAGAUCUGGGCCGUCGGCAGUUGGAUGGGGCCUGCUGCCCAUUGACUAACCCUUUCUUAGAUAACUCGGAUGAAAGUAACCAAGUGUAGCAAUUCAGAGAAUAGCCAAUGGCACCAAUACCCAUUGCGAGAAGAUCGUCCCAACACAGUCAACGAGUCCCAAGAUCCAUGGCCAGAGAACCUUACUAAUUCAUGGCGAGAAUGCCUGUGCUAGGGAGGAGGCAAGAGUGAAACCUAAGGCUUCGACACUAAGCCAAAACCACCGAGACUCUGUGAUCUUGUCAUUGCUCAACCUGCCGAGAUCGAGAUCGUGUGCCACCUCCUCUCACUUCAUGGCCAAAGACAUCGAUAACUGCCGCCUGCUGUUGAGAGAUGGAAAUUAGAAAUGAAUCUAGCAGGAAGGAAGCAAAGAAGAGCAACAACAAUGCUGCCACCCUCAUCCUUAGGGAUUCCACAAACAAGCUCUUUUUAAGACAAUAGAAGAACUAAACCAACAAAAGCAUGCCCGUCUCUUUUAUGUGUGUUUUGUCUCUAUGGUCUCUUUUUUCCUUCUCUUGCAACAUCAUGCUCUCAAUCUCUCGAUCAUAACGAUCAUUCUCUCCUUAUCAUGGCCCUGCUUAUGGUCUUUCUUUUUCCUUAUCUGGACGAGAUUGGAAAGCUCCAAUGCUCAGCAAUAGUUAGCAAAAACUGCAAUGGAAAUACUGGAAAAAUGCUGUAGCUUUUCUAGUUGAGUGCUCUUUGUGGUUCUCUUUUACUUUACUCCUAGUUCCUCCAAUGUAACUUUGAUUGAUGUGUGUCACAAGAAAAACCAGUGUUUUAUUUCGGCUGCCAAAAAGCCAUUUAAAAUGGCUUUUUGGCAUAGAAAAUGUUAAGCUUUUAUACAAAUUAGUAUCAUUUGAAAAGUCUAUCAUCGACAGCAACUAGGCUAACAAUUUCCUUAAGCAGCCUAAAAAUUAAAAAACGGCACAUGAGUGCCAACUUGAUUAUGAAUCAACAAUGUUAAUAUUAGGCAAUUCAUGAAAAAUUUCAAGUGAUGCCAAUUGUUGCUCUAAACUGCUAGUACUGGGCUGGUCCAAAUCAGUUAACAAAUGGAUUUUCCUUUUUCUGACUACAAUGGCACUCAAAUCUCCCACAUUUAGAUGUUUGCGCUUGAAAGGAGGAGGCAUGGGAGAUGUAAGUAAGGUCUCCACACCAAUUAUCUGGUCCAUGUCGUCCCUAGAGCCACUAAUCUCACUGUCAUUGCAUAGUAUUGCAUACUAUCAACCUGGAUAGAAGUAAACAAAGAAGCUUACCUCCCAUGAGCUUAACCUAAGACCAGAAUCCUGGUUGAAGUCAUCAUCUUCGACUUCAGGCAUGGAAUCAUCAGUGUAAACUUUCGCAUAGGACCUGAAACCUAUGGUUGUGUGGCCUGUGCCAUUGCCUCCUACAACUAGAGAGUCGUUCUCUUUUGGAAUAUCAAAUUCUCCUCUAGUCCACGUUGCAGAGCUGCAAGAAGUUUUAGAUUCCUUCCUAUCCCAAAUUUGAUGGUUUUGGUAAAUAUGAACGAGCUUCUUAGCCUGCUCUGGAUGCAGUCUACAUAUAGGCAAGUGACAUCAAUGUCAAACAAGUUCUUCAUGUUUAUAAAUGAACAAAGGGCUUACUUGUUCUGCUUUAGUGUCAAGACAUUGCUGUAUGUACUAAAAUUCCACUCAGCUGCAAAAUUCAAAGUUGUCAAACCAAGAAUAUAGCAUGCAAACCUCCAAAGCACUUCCCCUGAGUCACAGCUGAAGUUGACCGUAGAGGCCCAAACAUGCCAAGGUGAAUCUCCAUCUUUGCCUUUCUCAAGCAAUUCUUGUGCAUCACGGCUGUUUGCAAUGGAAAAGGGGGUAGUUCCAUCGACAUAUGCAAAGUACUCUUGAUUUAGAUUGUGGGCAUCUUUAACAUUUGGAUAGAAGCGAUGUUGAACACGACUAAAUGCUGAUGUUUCUUUCUGUCUAUUCCUAUCCUCCCUAUAACACGGAUUUACACACUAGGCUGCCCCAAACAAGUCACAGGAUCUCAUGUACUAAUCCUCCUGUUUCUCCAAAAAGUCUUCAAUAUUGUUCCUUGUUAUAAACACAAACUCCUCACUGAUCUCUUGUAUUGGCCUACGACACAAACUUAUGUCAGCAGUGUAGCAACCUAUGUCCUCCUCCUUGUAGAAGCUGCAAAGAUGCCUCCUAAUCCCCAUAGGUCCAUUUCCCUUCACAGGAGCUUUGCAUAAGACACAUCUAACCACUGCCUCCCAAUUAGCUUUGUUGGUGCUGAAACAUUGAGGAUCCAUCUCGGUGUUUUCCAAGUUCCUCUCCCUAAGUGCUAAAGGAUCACAGAAGACAUAUUUCCAAACUAUAUCCGGAGGCCUACCAAGUCUGCCUCUGGCACUUGGAGGAUGAUGAGGGUUGGUCUCUUGCCCCUGGAUCCCUCUCUGGUCUCCCUUACAACCUCGCCUUGUUCUCACAGUAGCACUAUCCUCAACACCUGGCCAAGGGUUUACCCCAUAGAACACAACAACUUGAUCAUCUACAGCCAAAGCAAGCCCCUCUCCGAUGACGGCGUCUCCUAAGGCUACACCCAAACUAGGCCCCUCACCUAUCAUGGCUUCUCCCGAGUCUGCUCCUGCAGAUGGAUUGAUGGAGGCUCCUACCUUGUUCACCCUCCCACGGCACAACUGCAGCCACACUGUGCUGCUAUAGUAUUUCACCUUUGCCGCCUUGACAUUGAAACAAAAAAGGAGAGGACAGGAGAGAAAUGGUGCUACUAGCCCUAAGGCUAAACCUUUUGUGUUGCUUCUCACCCAAGCUGAAGGAAUUCAAAGAACUCGCAAGUUUCUUGAAUGAAAACCCUUGAUCCAUGUACGUCACUAAUAGCUCUGACAACCUGAAUAUGCGUCAAAUCGCCGUUGAAUCUUUUUCUUUAGUGGGGUUAAAGGUUCAAGGGUUAUGCUUAAUUAAAUGGUCAUAAUUAUUCAAAAUGCCAAAAAGUAGUUUUGAAUAAAACUCUGCCAAGACCCAUUUCUACACCAUGGCAAUCGCGUUUACAAAGGAGAACACUAAAGUAGAUAGCAAAACCAUGGGCUUCUGCUACUUUGUGGCAGGAGGAGCAACAAGAGGUGCAGCCUGCUCCUCUAGCUGCGGCUGCGGGAUUUGGGCCGUCGGUAGCUAAAUGGGGCCUGUUGCCCAUCGACUAACCCUUUCCUAAAUAACUCAGAUGAAAGUAACCAAGUGCAAUUGUUCAGAGAAUAGCUAAUGGCACCAAUACCCAUUGCGAGAAGAUCGUCCUAAUGUAGUCUCAUGGCCCCGCUCACAGUCUCUCUUUUUUAUGGUGUCUCCUGAGGCUGCACCCAAACUAGGCCCCUCUUCGAUCACGGCUUCUUCUGAGUCUGCUCCUACAAAUGGAUUGAUGGAGGCUCCUACCUUGUUUGCCCUCCCAUAGCCGCAGCUGCGGCCAUGCUGUGCUACUGCAGUAUAUCGCCCUUGCUGCCCUGACAUUGAAACAAAAAGGAGAGAGUGAGAGGACAGGAGAGAAAUGGUGCUACUAGCCCUAAGGCUAAACCUUUUGUGUUGCUUCUCACCUAAGCUGAAGGAAUUCAAACAACUUGCAAGUUGCUUGAAUGAAAACCCUUGAUCCAUGUAUGUUAGUAAUAGCCCUGACAACCUGAAUAUGCGUUGAAUCGCCGUUGAAUCUUUUCUCUAGUGGGGUUAAAGGUUCAAGGGUUAUGCUUAAUUAAACGGUCAUAAUUAUUCAAAAUGCCAAAAAGUAGUUUUGAAUAAACCUUGCCAACACCCAUUUCUACACCAUGGCAAUCACAUUCACAAGGGAGAACACUAGAGUAGAUAGCAAAACCAUGGGCUUUUGUUAUUGCGUGGCAAGAGCAGUAGUAGGAGGCGCAGCCUGCUCCUCCAAUUGUGGCUGCGAGAUCUGGGCUGUCGGCAGUUGGAUGGGGCCUGCUGCCCAUUGACUAACCCUUUCUUAGAUAACUCGGAUGAAAGUAACCAAGUGCAGCAAUUCGGAGAAUAGCCAAUGGCACCAAUACCCAUUGCGAGAAGAUCGUCCCAACACGGUCAACGAGUCCCAAGAUCCAUGGCCAGAGAACCUUACCAAUCCAUGGCGAGAAUGCCUAUGCUAGGGAGGAGGCAAGAGUGAAACCUAAGGCUUCGACACUGAGCCAAAACCACCGAGACUCUGUGAUCUUGUCAUUGCUCAACCUGCUGAGAUCGAGAUUGUGUGCCGCCUCCUCUCACUUCAUGGCCAAAGACAUCGAUAACUGCCGCCUGCUGUUGAGAGAUGGAAAUCAGAAAUGAAUCCAGCAGGAAGGAAGCAAAGAAGAGCAACAAUAAUGCUGCCACCCUCAUCCUUAGGGAUUCCACAAACAAGCUCUUUUUAAGAUAAUGGAAGAACUAAACCAACAAAAGCAUGCCCGUCUCUUUUAUGUGUGUUUUGUCUCUAUGGUCUCUUUUUUCCUUCUCUCGCAACAUCAUGCUCUCAAUCUCUCAAUCAUGAUGAUCACUCUCUUUUUAUCAUGGCCUUGCUUACGGUCUUUCUUUUUCCUUAUCUGGACGAGAUUGGAAAGCUCCAGUGCUUAGCAAUGGUUUCGAAAACUGCAGUGAAAAUCCCAGCAAUGGUUAGCAAAAACUGCAGUGGAAAUACUGCAAAAAUGCCAUAGCUUUUCUAGCUAAACGCUCUUUGUGGUUCUCUUUUACUUUACUCCUAGUUCCUCCAAUGCCAAGGAAAUCCAAUCUCAAAAAGUGCCACAAAUUUGAAGGUUUCAUUGUGAACUUUUCUUUGCUACGUAUGUGAAGGAUAACUUACUGUGAAGGAACGGAAAGAGCAGUAACUGCAUCAAGACCUGGUUUCACAAUAGCUCAAGACUUUGCUUGUUCUUCGGUGGAGUGAAGGUUUCUAUAACUUUGAUUGAUGUGCGUCACAAGAAAAACCAGUGUUUUAUUUCGGCUGCGAAAAAGCCAUUUGAAAUGGCUUUUUGGCAGAGAAAAUGUUAAGCUUUUAUACAAAUUAGUGUCAUCUGAAAAGUCUAUCGCCGACAGCAGCCGAGCCAACAAUUUCCUUAAGCAGCCUAAAAAUUAAAAAACGGCACAUGCGUGCCAACUUGAUUAUGAAUCAACAAUGUUAAUGUUAGGCAAUUCAUGAAAAAUUUCAAGUGAUGCCAAUUGUUGCUCUAAACUGCUAGUACUGGGCUGGUCCAAAUCAGUUAACAAACGGAUUUUCCUUUUUCUGACUACAAUGGCACUCAAAUCUCCCUCAUUUAGAUGUUUGCGCUUGAAAGGAGGAGGCAUGGGAGAUGCAAGUAAGGUCUCCACACCAAUUAUCUGGUCCAUGUCGUCCCUAGGGCCACUAAUCUCAUUGUCAUUGCAUAGUAUUGCAUGCUAUCAACCUGGAUAGAAGUAAAUAAAGAAGCUUACUUCCCAUGAGCUAACCUAAGACCAGAAUCCCGGUUGAAGUCAUCAUCUUCGUCUUCAAGCAUGGAAUCAUCAAUGUCAACUUCUGCAUAGGACUUGAAACCUAUGGUUGUGUGGCCUGUGCCAUUGCCUCCUACAACUAGAGAGUCGUUCUCUUUUGGAAUAUCAAAUUCUCCUCUAGUCCACGUUGCAGAGUUGCAAGAAGUUUUAGAUUCCUUCCUAUCCCAAAUUCGAUGGUUUUGUUAAAUAUGAACGAGCUUCUCAACCCGCUCUGGAUGCAGUCUACAUAUAGGCAAGUGACACCAAUGUCAAACAAGUUCUUCAUGUUUAUAAAUGAACAAAGGGCUUACUUGUUCUGCUUUAGUGUCAAGAUGUUGCUGUAUGUACUAAAAUUUUACUCAGCUGCAGAAUUCAAAGUUGUUAAACCAAUAUAGCACGUAAACCUCCAAAGCACUUCCCUUGACUCAUAGCUGAAACUGACCGCAGAGGCCCAAACAUGCCAAGGUGAAUCUCCAUCCUUGCCUUUCUCAAGCAAUUCUUGUGCAUCACAGCUGUUUGCAAUGGAAAAGGGGCUAGUUCCAUUGACAUAUGCAAAGUAUUCCUGAUUUAGCUUGUGGGCAUCUUCAACAUUUGGAUAGAAAUGAUGUCGAACACGAUUGAAUGCUGCUAUUGCUUCCUAUCUAUUCCUAUCCUCCCUCUAACGCAGAUUUAUACACCAAGCUGCCCCAAACAAGUCAUAGGAUCUCAUGUACUGAUCCUCCCAUUUCUAUAGAAAGUCUUCAAGCUGUUGUUUGUCCUCUGCAUUGAAACCUGUAACUGUUGCUAUCUUGAACUUAAAAAAAUGCCAUGCUUGCCACACAAAGCCAAUGUUUGAAACUGAGCGAUCAAAGAACUUGAUUGCCAUCACCACCACCUCUAUCAACUGCAUCACCUUCUCAACACCCGCCCAGAAAUUAAAAUCCUCCACUGCUGUCAUGGCUUGGUUAGUAGUCUUUGUUGUUGUUGCAAGUUGGCUUCGUAGCCAAUCUUUAAAUCUAGUAUUCCUAAACAACCUCUGCAAUGCUCCACACUCUUCCCAUAAUCACCUGGGCAUGUAAUAAUAGUUUCCAAACUUGUGAAAGAAACAAAAAAAGUGUUAAAGUCAGUAACAGACAAUUACACAACUCUAAUACUCACCGAGUAAUGACAGGUCUGACGAAUUGCCACUUAGGAUGCUGAACUUGAUAAAAAGCAUGCACACGAGUGGAGUUCUUCACAAAUUGAACUAUACACUUCCCUAUGUCUAGAUAUUGUUUGAUGUUGUCCAAACCUGCCCAAGACAUUAGUACAAGGUUCAGAGCAUGACACUAACAUGGAACACUCCACAUAUCUUCAAACUCAGUUUUGAAUUUGCAUCCAACAAGCCACAUGUUGGCCGCAUUGUCCGUUACUAUUGAUGAUAAUCCACACUUCCUCUCUAUACGCCGCAUUUGAUCAUGUAAUAUGUUCCACUACCAGGGAUGUUGCUUUUGGCUACAUUUGCGUCAUCAGCAAGUACCCGAGUAUUUAUAGCCAAAACCACACUCUUCAAUUUGCUAUACAAGAUAUCAACUGCAUUGUAAAGCAAACAAGUUAAUUGGACGUUACAUGAAAAAACAACACAUACCUAAAGAUUCAUAGCACUCAAAUGAGCCACAAAAAAACUCUUCAUGGUGUGCUGCAUCAACGAUCAUAAUAUUCUAAAUAUGCAACCCACUAACUGUCUUCCAACUGUCCAUUACUAAGCAAGGCAGUCGUGGGCUGUACGCACCUGUAGCUUUCUCAAGUUGUUGAUCAAUGCGCUCAACCGUUUCAUGGUAUAUCUCAUCCAAGAAGUCUUCACGCAAAGCCUUCAGCAAAGGCAAAGGAAACAUGGAACCGCAUUGGGCAUGUCUACCAACUACUAGGUUGAACGCUCUGGCCUUGAUAUAAACUCCCAAUGCAUACUCCUUCUACCAUGCCCUAAGUUCUUCAAGGGUCAACACCCUUCCUGUGAUUCCUUUGAGAGCUAUUGUUUCCUGCAAGAUACAAUUUGUUGAACUUGUCUAAGGCGAUGUAGUAGACACUAUUAUAUCGAUCUGAUUCCUAGCUGCACGUAAACCACCCACAGAGAUGCAGCCAAUUGUAGCUAACUCAGUCUCUCGAACCUGCUGCCACAACUGCUCUGCAUCAACCUAGUCUUCACCCUCCAAACAUUCUAUCCAUUCCCAUGCUUUGUUGUCGUUAUCGCUCGGAAAGGCAAACAUGUUCAAUUUUGGCCUGUGUUCAAUACUCCCACUAGCUUGAGGAGUUGAUGUCGAUCCUCCAACAUUGUAGGCAUCUUCAUCCAAUUGCUGUGACCCUGAAACUCCUUGAUUGCUGAACCAUGUCAUUCUACCACUGCCAUGUUGUUUAAACUCCACAAGCUUGAUGUUGUACGUCUCAAUAUUGUUCCUUGUUAUAGACACAAACUCCUCACUGAACUCUUGUAUUGGCCUGCAAUGCAAACUUAUGUCAGCAAUGUAGUAACCUAUGUCCUCCUUCUCCUUGUAGAAGAUACAAAGAUGCCUCUUGAUCCCCAUAGGUCCAAUUCCCUUCACGGGACCUUUGCAUAAGACACACCUAACCACUGCCUCCCAACUAGCUUUGUCGGUGUUGAAACGUCAAGGAUCUGCCUCGGUGUUUUCCAAGUUCCUCUCCCUGAGUGCUAAAGAGUCGUAGAAGAUGUAUUUCCAGACCAUAUCCGGAGGCCUACUAAGUCUACGUUUGGGACUCGGAGGAUGAUGAGGGUCUCCUGCCCUUGGAUCCCUCUUUGCAGCCUCGCACUAUUCUCACAGCAGCACUAUCCUCAACACCUAGUCGAGGGUUUACCCCGUUGAACACGGCAACUUGAUCUCCUGCAGUUGAAGUAGGCCCCUCUCUGAUCACGGCAUCUCCUAAGGCUGCACCCAAACCAGGCCCCUCUCCGAUCAUAGCUUCUCCCGAGUCUGCUCCUGCAUAUGGAUUGAUGGAGGCUCCUACCUUGUUUGCCCUCCCACUGCCGCAGCCACGGCCACACUGUGCUGCUAUAGUAUAUCACCCUUGCCACCCUGACAUCAAAACAAAAAAGAGAGAGUGAGAGGACGGGAGAGAAAUGGUGUUAUUAACCCUAAGGCUAAACCUUUUGUGUUGCUUCUCACCCAAGCUAAAGGAAUUCAAAAAACCCACAAGUUGCUUGAAUGGAAACCUUUGAUCCAUGUAUGUCAAUAAUAACCCUAACAACCUGAAUAUGCAUCAAAUUGUUGUCGAAUCUUUUUUCCAGUGGGGUUAGGGUUAUACUUAAUUAAACAGUCAUAAUUAUUCAAAAUGCUAAAAAGUAGCUUUGAAUAAAACCCUGAGAAAAACAUUCUUGCUAAAAGAACCAAGCACCAGAAAAGAAAAAGCAAAAACAAGCAGCAACAUACCGUCCAAAAAGUGCUUGCACGCCUUCUAGGACCUCUACACUACACCAUAGUGACGUUCGCAAGAUCUCUAUGUAGUAACAUGUGAGUGCAACCGAAUGACAAAAAAAUUAACAGCAGCAUCACUAUUCAAUUACCAGCAAUAUACUUUGUGCUGUGCAAAGCAAAAGAGCAAGCUAGCUCAGCUCGGAAUCGCACAGAUUGAGAUGUUUUGAUUUCACAUGACUUCUCCCGAGAAGAGAAUUUUAACAUAUAGAGCGCCGACCAGAUCGAUAUAGACAAACAAAUACAGUACCUGUCACUGUAGCUACAAGUGUGGGUUUGAGAAGCACAAGGACCAAUGAGCUCGUCCUCAUGUUGUCUGAAUAUAAAAGUAAUGUACCUAUAAGAUGGAAGUGACAAUCCAUAAUCCGUGUUCAUCAGGAUUUAAAUCUCCGACAAUUUCAGGCCUCACCCCUUAAAGUCCUUCCGGAAGAAUCGACCGCAAAACGAGGACCAAAUGUGCGUCGAAACGGAAUAUGAGGAUGCCCGUGUGGCCUGACAGAAACACAGCUUAAGGCAGCAGCAUGAUCAAGGAGUACAUACUUGAUGUCAGAACUGUCGUCUCUCUCGGCUGGGAAGAAUCCAGUCCACGUUUCCAGCAUUUCCAUUAAGGCUGCUGUGUCAGACACCACGACGUGCACGGUGCAUCUGUCUGUUUCAACGGAAAACAAUAACGAACUGUUAGAAACAGGAAACUUACCUGUAUUUAAGUCGAUGCUGUUCCUUAGAGAGUGUCACAAAUACGAGACAAGUAAAAAGUUAGCACCAAUCCAUGAUAAAACGAGUUCAUGAUAAAAAACGAGAUGCAUACCUAGAGUACAGCUCUUGAAACAAGUGGAUAACACCACGAGCCUGUUGUGGCCAAGUGGAAGAUGAAUCGAUCACACUUGAAGGAUGUCGGCGAGAAAGCUCUAGCCAUUUUCUGAAACAAAACCUUGUUAAGAAAAACUCUUAACUCCAAAGUAGAUUUCGACUUUUUUUUAUUUUUUAUGACUGCAUGUUUUGUAGCUUUAGAGUGUAGUCCCACAGUCCUCUGUAACAAUAACAUUUGUAGCCAUGCAUGUUGUCCAUGGAAGAGUUUUACCUUCUUUUUCCUUGGCUACCAAGCUCUUGAGCCACUGAACAAUACGAAGACAUGUUUGAGCAGUCUCAUCGUUCCUUACAAACUCGGAUGCCACCUGAGCUGAUGUGGUUGCCUUCUGCCAUGAAAACUUUUUUGUAAGUGAAAGCACAAAGGAUGAAGACAUGCAUAUAAAAUACCUGAUUGUUUUCCAUACUAUCCUUAGAGACAAUGCGGGUGAAAAGAGAAAACUUCAGGCUUCCAUUCUGCCCUAAAUAAAACCCUCAACCCUAGUACUAAUAAAUGUUGAGAGUGGGAUUUGAACCUAGACCAAUCUGCCAAUUUAUUUGUAAAUUUUAAAUUGACUAAAUUGUUUAGUUUGCCUGAAAUUUCCAGCAAACACCAAGGAAACAAUACGACCCUUCCCACCUUGUACCAAGCAAAUCACCUUAGAAAAAGAAACAAGUAUUUAAAACUGUUAGAUAUGCUAGAUCAACUCAAACACUUGUCCAAUCCAUCAAAGAAAAUAAACUAGAAUGGAUACACUUGUGGACAAGUUGAGUAUCAUAUAUAUUUCAAAAUAAAUAUUUUACCUCACUAAAGCAUUGCGAGAGCUGCCGAGGAGCACAAAAAGUCAUAGCCCCAAGCAGUUGAACACUUCCAUGUUUAGUACGCCAUGCUCGGUCUUCUAGCCCCUAAAUUAAUAAUUAUACACCGUUGAGCUAAAAGAACGUAACUUCAGUUGUGUGAUACUUUCACCUUGAAUAGAGCUGGUAAGACAAGUUUAACACCUUGGCCGGUAAGUUGCGAAAUAAUUGUCCGAUCAGCCGCCUCGUAUACUGCUGAAACGGAAUCGGAGAAACACACAAGCAUCUCUGACAGGAUUCGUAUUACGCACCUGCAACAAAAAAUGUUUAACAAAAGCAAUUUCUAGUAGAAUAAAUUCUUAUGGCUCCCCAAGUUUCUCGGAUUACAUCGAACUUCUUCAAGCAAGACAAUCCCUUCCCCUUCACUACCCCGGCCAAUCCAAAGGCUGCUCCACAGUGCUCUCCAUAUUUCUCUGAUUGCACAAGUUGUUCAAGCAAACUUUUUGCAAGUUUCUCAGAAUCCACCUGACAACCAAGUUACUAGAUUAUCCAAAUUCAAAUGAAAUACCUGGUGGACUAGCAAUAAAAGAAGCUAGGAAGUUUGAGACAGCACGUUGAACUGAUUCUGAAGGAGUUUUCAGUGCUUCGAGCCAUCUUUCCAGAAUGACAACUACUUUCGGAUCAUCCUAGUUAGUUGGUAGCUACCGAAAACAAAUUCACCUGAGAGAGAAAGUCAGAGUAAAUACAAACAAAACAUUCAGAUUUGAAGCACGUACCUUUCUACUUCAAUAGUUUUCAAUAUAGGAAGGAGAACCGUUUUCCAUGUUUAUCGAGAACUGCUACGCCAGCUUCCACCAUUUUAGACCGGACGUCAGAGUUUGAAUAAGCCUGUAGGAAAUAAACGGAUACAUUUAACUUGUUUAUUCAGCAGAGCGACGUACCAAGGCUCGAGAAAAAGAAAAGUUGAUAAAACUGGUAAGCCUUUGGCAGUAAGUAUGUCUGCAGCUGCUUCGAGGGCUAACGAUACACUUGUCUUCCAGACCAACCAGGAUCAACAUGAUUGCCUCCACUCGAAUAGAGGGUAAACAAAGCCGAUAGUGUUUCCUGAGAGCAACGUAAGCACGAGAAUAAAUAAAUACAGAAAACCUUACUUGAAUGCUGCUUGGAUACUCGUCCAUGGCAAGACACGAAGUAGGCCGUCAGGAACAGGACUUGCUCAACAAUCUGUCAAGAAUACAGUUUAGAUUAGAAACAAACUCAGAGAACUCAUACCGAUACCGGAAAAACUACAGUCCAAGCUUACAAUCCCCGUGGUGAUCACCGUGUGAAUAACGCCUUUCUCGUUAUCCAAAUAAACUUGUAGAGAAAACAACGACACCAAGAUUUUCGUUAGGUGUCUGGGAACUGCAGUCACCAAUCCCGUUAAUACGACCAUCGUCCGGAACGCUUCAUCACUCACAAUUGGCGACUUCAGAAGUGGGAGGACAAGCGGGAUCUGGUCAUUCCUCAAAUAUGAGUGAAAACUACACAGUAAUGAACAUAACUUACCAAAGCAGGAUCCGCAAUAGCUGCAAUUGCUCUUAUAACCACAGUGAACCGCGUCUUUAAGUGGCAUGGACAAUAGCCUCUUCUUUCAAAACCAAAUCUCUUGCUUCUUCUUUCAUUGGUUUUGAUUCACCUGAAAAACAAGAAAUUAUAAAAUGAGCAAAUAUUGAGAAAACAUUAAAAGCAGCAGUCUUUCUAGAAGCUUUACUCGCGUCUCUAGGCGCAGACGCCGUGAAACAGACUUCGACAUUGUGUCCUACAGCAAGUUUCAUUAGCCACCAGAAUGACAAAACAAUCUGCUAACCUCUUCACUUCCGGAGUCACUGCCAUUUUAAAUCGUCAUUUUGCCUGCUACACACCACCAGAAGGAGUGUUGAAUAUCUGCCAAGAAAGGCUCAGUCUUAAGCUACUUCGUGCGUAUAAUCCACCUUGUCAUUGAGACCAUUGUGAGAGCUCCAAUCAGCUAGAUCACUUACGCCCUGCAAGGAAAUAAGUAUGUAAUUCAUAUGAAAAGAAGACAGCACCUACAUGAAUCAAAUGAUUGAGCAUUUCAUCAGGAAUAAAAUGCGUGACUAAACCAGAAGCAAAGAUCGCUGCUUUUGAGAUAGCCGGCUGUUCACUGGUCAAUCCGUUCGCACCGGCUAGAACCUGAGCAAGUGUAUGUGUGGCUAAUCAGUAGAAGUCAAAUAAUAACCUUCCGACAGCGCCGGGAUCAGAUCUUAGGACGGCGCGAAUAAAAUACUUAAGCGUCUUGCAAAGUCCUGGCAAAGGAGUCAUAUGCAUAAACCACAGAAAGAAAGGUUUCUUACCUUCCAAUACGAAGUACUUUUUUUACCACACAAGAUCCAGUCAUGGUGAAAAACUAUUAGAAAAUGCGUAGAAUACAAGGGAUCCGGCACUAGUGAUGCACAUCCUGCUUUAGAAAGCAUCUGAUGGUGGAACCUCUGAAGGCGAACUGUCACUCUCGCUUCCACUGCACAUCUGUAUUAGAAAAUGGAAGCUUGAAGAGUAUAGCAGUAAAUUUUACCUCAUUUGCGAAUUGAAGAUCAUGUAAAGUGGGAAGCCAAUUCAGAAAGGACUUGAAAAGCUCCUCCGCAUACGCUACUGCAGCUCUCCUUACAUGCCAUGACUGGUUCCAAAAGAAAGCUUAAAAGGCUCUGCAGCAAGAAAAUCAUUCGUCAUUGUUAGCAAAUGAUUUAUUCCAUCACUUUGGAAAGUUCUGUUAGCCCCUCGUUGGCUCCUCUGCAGCCAAGGAAAAUUUUAUGCAAACGUUUAGAUUUGGCUGGUAAUUCGAUAGAUCUUCAAGCAGUUCUAUCGACGCACCAGUCUUCCAUUUGCAUUUCAGGUUCUGUUCAUCCGUUGUUAGAUCAGACCAAACUGAAGGAAUGAAAAACAUAUACAACUGUCGGGGAAAACGUAGACUCCGAAAUCGUUACUGACGAAAUAAUCAUUUCCUUGAUCAUCUUGCAUCUAUAACAGUACAAAGAAAAACGAGUAUAAACGCAAAAUGUUGUUUGAAUUCUCACCAGCUCUGCUAUCGAUGGAUGCAAUCUUGAGUAGCAAAAGAAGAGCAUAAAUCCUUUGUUAUACCACUUUUCGAUAGUUGGACCAAUUGAUCAACUAGCGGGAUCGCCUGCAAAAAGAAACAAAAAUCGUUUCAGAACAGAACGCACGACUUAAAAAGCACCAAACCCACAGGAAGUGAAAGUUCUUCAUCGAAAAAUGCCUGGCGAAGACAUCGUAAGUGUGCUCACCUCAUAUUCAAGCCCAGCCAAAAAGAAACUUGAGCACUCAGCUGGCAAGUUACGCUCGGCUUUUCUAAGUGACGAACCCAGAGAUAAUAGAAUUGCCACUCGGACUUCCUCGUUUCCUGUCUGUCGCAUACUGUGUAAGAAGCAAAAAUAUCGAAGCCAGCACCAAAACUCACCGUCGUCUUUGUACAGUGAAUAAGCAAUGAGCUGAUAACACCUGCAACAAGCGUCACAAAUGGCGCGUAAAGCAUUGAUCAAUCCCAGCCUCUGGUAGACGAACGUCAGUUUACCCUCAGAUCCUGGCACAAGACCACGUUAAGUUGCGAGCUAGAAAUGCUUUUAAACAUCUAACCUCCUGUUAACAGGGACUCUGUGCCGUUUCUGAGAAUUUGCAGCGCUUCCCCUUCGUCGCUAUGUCGAGAUUGAAGCAAAACAACGGGUAGAACCUCGCCCGUAUAUCUGGUCAGGUCCGCUUCAAAAGAACUCCAAAAAGAGGUCGGGGCUUCUCUUGAGCAUCCUUACAGCAGCCGGGACCGAGUUUGGAAAGAAGCUCAAACGCUUCGCUGAUCGCCUGGGAAGGCUUCUCUCGCGAUCCAAGUACCAACUUUUCACGUAAAGGUCGACAAAAAACGCCUGAAAAGAGAACCCAUUUCGUUACCAAGAGCUCCACUAUAAACUUCCCACCUUCUUGGCCGAAAGUCGAGCUGGAUCCCUUGUAGUUGUAGCGAGGAUUUUCAGAGGCACCGAAAUUCCGACGACAACGUCUCAAGCUCGGAGACGUAGUUUUCGUACAAGCCAUUCACCCUGCAUUGAGUCUUUUAAAUCCCAGAUGGAAAGAAAAGAAAAUCCGCUACCUGGAUCAGCGAGCGAAGUAGCAAGGCCUUGGCAGCCAGUCUCAGCCAAGAGGAGGGAGGACUGGACCGCAGCGAUCCUGGAGAAGAAGGUGGGGCAUGCGCAACCAGCAAGUUUUCCCGGUGAGGCACCACCACUUCCCUUGUGGACACUACCGCCGGGACGAAACUCACAAGAAAGCGCAGGAGCUUGAGCUGCGUGGAGGCGGGACACACACUCGCGUUCCUCUCGGAGGCAAGAAUGAGCCGACCUGGAUGUGUGGAGUGACGCGCACGACGGCUUGGACAAGAGAGAUGUAGCGUCGCGAGACAAUCCACCGCGCGCUCGUCUGAAAGGGGCGUUAGCAUUGUCGAAAUCGCAAGAAAUCCACCUGGCGAUGAAAUGCUCCCGCGGAAGAUGGUCUGACUAAACCCUAAAUCUCAGAAAACCAAAAAAACAAAAAAAAAAAAAAAAAACCAUACAGUUUUAAUGCCUAGACCCUGAUAGCGAUUGCCUUGAGCUUGCAGGCUUUUAUAACUCCUCGAUGCUUUGCAGUGCGUGUUCCAGCUCCGAGAAGGUGCUACCAUGAUCCAGAAAACGAAAGGAAUGUAAGAAAGAAAAACCUUCGCUAGAUGCCCGGAUUUGCAUGCUUCUUUCUAUUUGAUAGAUUGCGGUAGCUCCUCCUCAUUAUCCGCAAGAAAAACAGUCACCAUUGUUUCAUAGAUGAAUCAACGAAAAUAAAAAAAGAACCUGCAGCCUUUGCGUCUCGACACCGCUUUCGACACGAGCAGCUCUUUGUUCGAUGGCGAUUCGGCUAAAACACGUCUGAUCUCUCCACUCUCCAUAUCGCGAUCUCGGCUUCCCUGCAAAGUUUCUUUCAACAUCAUUGCUGGCAAAGAUCCUCCAAAACUUUUUAAAACCAGUAAGGCUUUCUCGAGAGGAGGACGCAAUUUUCAUCUUCCGGAUCUUCAUUUGAGGAAGUUUAGGGAGAAAAAAAAGCCGACCCGAUACCAAUAGGGUGACCUUUUAAAUGCGCUGGUAGCAGCGUGGAAGAUCACAGGAAAACAGCAACGCCAGCGAUCGACCAGAGACCAGUGAUAGCUUCCACUCGCUCUCGAAACUCCCGAGCUCCUCGGCGCUCAUUCUCCCGGAUCGACCCAAGAUAUCGAUGCUCUCUCCUCCCACCCCUCGGCCACAAGACCGACAUGGCUGCACGAAGUUAGCGCUCCGGAACGUCACCUCGUCCUCGAGGUUCAUCAUAUGGAUGAUCGUAGUGCCCGUUUGAGCACACCAUGGUCGUCCAUGGAACCAAGCUCCGAGUACUCUUCAUGCUCUGAAACACGCGGCACGGCCGAGAUCGCCCAAGUUGACCUGCCGUCCAGCAGGCGAUGGUCUCUCGUGGAAGAAACUCACGGCCUCGUCGAAAUGCCCAUUCUCGCCAAACGCGAGUAGCAUCAAGCUCCACGAGACUAGAUUCUCCUCCGGAUUUGAUCGAAGGUGUUCUUCGCGACGAAGCCUUUGCAACAUCGCCGUCUACGCCAUCACGUCCUGAUCAACCUCUUGCGGCGGCCAGAUUGUAAGGGAGCCGGCCUUUCAGAUUCUACCUAGAAUCCACUCGGGGGUAGCACAGCAGUAGAUUCGUCCACGACACGAGAUCCUUGGCCGGCAUUCGAUCGCGAUUUGCCCCUAGUGGGCGUGUGCCGUCAUCAUCUCACGGCCUGGCGCUCUGAGACGCGAUCAAACAUCUCCUGGCAGUUGCGGAGCCCAGAUACCGCGACGUAGCCGGCGACCAUCGAGUUCCAUGACACAAGAACACGACCAUAUUAGCAUGCUCUGUACUCUGGAACAGUGUUGGAAUAUAUACCAAGCAAUAAUAAAAACAAAUGAUAUUAUGUUAAAUAGUCUUUGAUAAGAUCAGUUACAAUAUCAAACUAGAGAGCUGAUAGUUCAUAUCCUUCCAAUUUCUCCUGGUUAGCAAAUUCAUGCCAGAAAAUGGUUUGAAAAUUCUCCACACCCUGAUCAAUCCACGCAAGAUUGCUCACAGCUUGGAGUGGAAGAGUUCGAAUGUGAGAGAAGAGCAAGUGCGUCAAUCUCUUAUGCCCCAGACUUUCUUAACAUAGCGGGGCGUACAUGUGACAUAUGUUAUAUUUCCUUCUCUCGCAUGAGCCAAUUGACGCUCCAAUUGUGUCUCUCAUUUAUUGGCGAAAACAUCAAGAAAAUAUUUCGAGGUUAGGUUCUUCAUUUUUAUUAUUAUAGAUUAGAAAUUGUCUAGAAAAUGGUGGGCAGUUGACAAAGCUUACUCUUUUCCAAGUCUACUCCUCUCAACAUAAACUCUAGAUAGGGAACCCAUGCCUAAAAGAGAAAAUAUGUUUACGCACUAGCAAAAAGUCUAUAAUACCUACUUAUUGAAGCUGAAGUUCUUAGACAAUGUAUGAUUCACUCCCACUUGUCCUUGCAUUUCAGUGGCCUAUUUAUCAUUGGGAACAUCAUGUAAAUUGUUAGAGAUGCAAUAGUAGCUGUGGGAAGAUAUUACCAGAGCAGACAUGAUGGAAAGUUGACGCUAUAUUUUAAAUCAAAUGGCACCUUGCUACACCGAUAUGUUAAAGUUAGCAGGCUCAAUGUGUACCUCCAUAUCUGCAUCGGGUAAAUAAUAUAUAGUCAGGUCCUUCACAUCCACAAACACGUAAACUUACCAAACUUUGCUAUAUGGGGUAUGUAUGUAUAGUUCUUGAUCUGCAGAAAUUGAAAAAAAAUAUCACAUACCACUUUUGACAGCCAGGACUGCCACAGGCUAUUUGUUCCUACUAAUGAUCUGUAGUGCUUGCAAGCACAAAAAUUCGCACUAGGACUCCACCCAAAAUCCCCGUAUGGAAAGCACCAUUCCAUCAUGAACAUGGACGUGAAAAGAAGAUGAAGGCUAAAGAGGGAACAUUGCAUUCAUGUAAAUGCUGGCACAAAUAUGGUCCACAUUAAAGUGAACCAUGUCUAUAUUAUCCCACAGAAACAAUCUGAGGAACCUAAUAACAAUAUAUGCUAGAGCAAGAUAUAUGAUUCUAAUAAAUGAUCUAAUUAUUCAUCAAGAUUUUUAAUUUUUAGGAUAAAUUUCGAAUAAAAAAUUAAGGGAAUAUUCUACAGAGGUUCCUCCCCAGAGAGUUCCUCGAGCGACUUUCCUUUGGUCUCGGGCACCAGCAGCGAGAAGACCAGCCCCAGCGAGUUGCAAAAUCCCAGCACGAUGAGCGCGUUCCUCAAACCAAUCCCCGUGUGGUACCCCUUGUCGAUCUCGCUGCUGUGCCUGCUCUGGCUCGCGUACAGGAACCCAAACGAUCCAACAAUGGCCCCGGCCUUGCCAGCCGCCGCCGAUAUCCCAUGGCACGUCGAGCGCAGCCGCGCCGGGAACAGCUCCGCCGGGACGAUGAAGGUGGUGGCAUUCGGGCCGAAGUUGGCGAAGAAGAACGUGAACGCGUACAGGACUAUGAACGCGGUGUGAUGAUCCUUGAGGUAGUGGUAAGGCACGGCCAGUGCGAACAUAAACACCGUCAUGAAGAAGAAGCCGAUGAGCUGGAUCACGAAGCGGCCGAGCUUGUCGAUGAGGAGGACUGUCACCCAGUAUCCUGGAACCGUGGAGCACAGAGCUAUCAGCGCCUGGGCUCUCGAGAUCCUGUAAACUUCCUCUAGCGCGCUCAUCUUCUUGGCACUCUCGAGCCACCCCACGGCCGUGAACACGUCCUUCUGGAAGAGGUUCUGGCUGUAGAAGGCGAUAUCGAGGAGGAACCAAGUCGUGGUUGUCCCCAGGAGAUGGAGCCCGUGCCUUCUCACGAACUCCCUCGAGAAAAGCUUGUACGUUGGAGGCUGCGGUCGAGACUGCUGUACCUCAGCUUCCGAGCUAGUAAUAGUAGCAUCGAUCCGGACCUGUAACACCUUGCUCAUGUCUUCCGCUGCCUGGCUCACGUUGCCUUCCACCAGAGCUGUGUAGCGAGCCGUCUCCGGCAUCUUCAUCCUCCAGUAGUAAGUUAACGCCGCCGGGACUGCUCCAAGCAUGAGAAUGAUCCUCCACACGUAGUCAGCCUCAGGAGGAGUUGAAGCAACGUGAUCGACGAUGAAGGCCGGACUCGGAUAUGCGUGCCUGAAGAUGGCAGACACCAGCAGAGAAACCGCGGCACCUGCUAGAAUCCCAAAGCCUUGCAUGGCAAAGACCGCCGCAAUGAAGGCGCCUCUGGUCUUCUGGUUGGCAUACUCGGACAUGAUCGUUGCUGAUAAUGGAUAGUCUCCGCCAAUACCAAAACCCAGCCAGAACCGGAAGAAGCACAGCGUCCCAAUCACUGACUUCGCCGAGUGACCGAAUGAGAGGCCCGAGGCUAUCGCUGAGAAGAACAUUAGCAUCAGAGUGAUGCCAUAGACUUUCUUCCGUCCCAUUCGGUCCCCGAGCCAGCCGAAGAAAAGCUGGCCGGCGAAAGUUCCACAGAGAGCCACGGCAGUUACUGCGGAAGAAACAUUGGCCGGAAGAGUACCUGGUUUGCCUGUCGAGGGAUCAUAGUAGUACAGACGGCCCAGCAGCUUCGUCACUGUCGUAAUGCAGAAAAGAUCGUACGAGUCUGUGAAGAAUCCCAUCCCUGCGAUGACGAUAGUCGUGAAGUGGUACCAUUGUGUCUUGGCCUUGUCGAGAGCGGAGAGCACCUCGAUAGCCAUCUCUGCCUAAAUCCCUUCCACCUUGUACGCGCUAUACAUAUACAGCGAAAAAAAGUAAAGGAAGUCCAUACAUGGACGAAACGACCAAAUGGAGUUUCCCGAAUAUGCCUUUUUACAAACCGCGAUUAGCUUUGAAGUUGUUGGCUGUUUCAAUGAGAUCCGCGUUUGCGUGUAUCAAGUUCUCGAUAACCUGCAAAAGGAAAGAUUAGAUACAGAAAGCAAAGCUGGUACAAAAGCUUUUUACCUUCGAGUGCUGCCGUAGAUUCACCUCGAAAACAUGUUUUUCUUCACUGAUAGCCUUCAAGGACUCGACAACUUUGUCACGCUCUUUGGCAUCCUUCUCGCAUUGGUCCAUGAGUUGUGCGAUGGCCGUUGCCUGCGAGAAAUUUUAUUCUAGCCUCAAAAGUCACAUGAGCUAACUACGUACCUGACGCUCUAGAAUGCCUGAUUUUACACUGCACUCUUCCGCAAGUACUGCUUUCUCUGAAGCUAAUUGAGCCCGGUCUUUGCCAAGAGCCUGCAAGUGAUGAGCCACAUCCCUGUGGAAACGAGAUCACCUAUCAUGCCAAGUUGUGGCUUUAAAGUUCGCUUACCGGCUUUGAGUGUCGUGCUGGAAGAGGUCUUGUUGCUGUACAUGGAGACGAGUUCGUAACACAAAAUUCUCCUUCAUCAGAGCUUCCUUGCUGGCCACCUAAUGCAACGAGAGAAAAGAAAACUUUAGGUGAGAACCAAAACCAUCAAGAACUUGCCUCGUUUGCCAGAGCUUCUUGGAGCUCUUCAACUUUAGCGUUUGCAGUCGCCAAAUCAUCAUUUACCUUCUCGAGCUCCUCGGCAGCCCCUACACCUGCGCGCUAAACAUCAAAUCAAAAGGAAAGAACAAUAAAACUCAAGGCUUCUAUUAAACGUGAGAAUGUUACUCGUUACCAGUAACGUGAUGCAACCACGCGAAAGAUCCUGUGGAAAGUUCUCUCUUGUCAACACGAAGGAAGAAAAGCUAUAGACGAGGAAAAGAAGAAGAGGAAUGGUGAAAGAAAUUCACACCUCAUCCGAGCGGAGAAAAUCAGCUACUAGUGUUAGCGCUGCAGCCCUGAAAUUCGCUACUCGCCUGGAAAAGAAGAAAGAAGAAGGAAGAAUGAGAUGGUGUAUAGAUAGUAGAUCGAUGAUCGAUCACUCACUCCUUCCCUAUCGGCGAGAAUGCGGCAUUCUCGAUCGCAUGCACCACUCGGAGGAGCUGAAAUAUUUUGGGAGAAGCAUCGACGCUGCCGGCCGCCAACGAUCCAUCGGCUUGUAGAUCGGAGAGGAGCGCCAGACCUGCCUGGUAGCGAUCGAUCGGCGCCUUCCCCGGAUCCAUGGCCGGUCAUGCUUCUCUCUAGAAGAACCCUAGGACUUCUAUAUGAAAUAUUUUGCGUAUUUGUUUCAUCACGGUAAGAUAUUGACAUAGCCCACAGCGAUCGCUACUGCGAGAAUCGCGAGCGGUGGGACGAGCACGAACAGCCCGAUCGUGGCAAACGUCCCAGAAUCAUCGCGCUGCGAGACUUUGUCUAGGUACUCCUGGCGCUUGAUGUUCCUCUGGACCGAGAUUUUGGGCUUCUUGUACCGCGAGUACACCAGUGGCACGGAGAAAUCCGAGCCCUCCUCGCUGUUGCCGUAGCGAUCGACGAGCUUGCUCGCGAUUGUAUUGCUGCUGCUGCUGCUGCUGCUGCCUGGAGAUCGAAUGAUAGAAAUAUCUGAGAUCGCGAAGAGGGAUGGAUCGAAAUAUUUCGGUAGCGUGGCUUACUCGAUUGCGUCAAGCGCUCCAAGCGCUCCAGCAUAGAUUGGGAAGAGGAAGAAGAGGAGCCUAGCAAAGAAAGAAUGAAAUUUUGGCCUGGAAGAAACAUCGCGACUUACUCGCUUUGUCCGAUCUUUCGACCUCCGCUCGACAUUUCCAGGAAUGCGUCGAGCAGUGGAGAAAUUUGCCUUCUCCUCUCCCAUUCCAAACACACGAAGGAGUGGAAACCCUAGAAAACAGAGCCAUGGAAGCAAACACUUGGCUAGCCCUUGCCUUCACACGAUUUGAUUCGCUCCUCAGUCGGUUUUUAACGGAGCUUACUUCGUUAGCUAAACAGAGCUACCGUACAUUCGUUACUUUAACCGAAGCAGCCGAGCUAGAGCUUUUGGCGAAGAAUCCAGCCAUGGAGAUGUACGGUGAUGGGCUCUUGGGAUCCAUUCUGGCAGCUGCUUGAGCCCCCAGUUUCUUGGAGUUUUGAUCCAAUUCACAAGCGCCGAGGAGACUUCCAAGAGACACAUCGUUUGGAGAAUGCGGCAUGGAAUUGAUCAAAUCUUUCGCGUUUUGGAGCUCUCCAGCUCGAGAGAGGAUGUCGAUCAUUGUGUUGAAGUGUUCUUUGCUUGGCUCCAAUCCAUGAUCGCGUUGCAUCAGCAUGAAACACUCCAAACCAGUGGCGAGCAUACCAAUCCGGCUGCAAGCAGUCAAGAUUGUCAUGAAAGUGACCUCGUCAGGAGCGAUGCCUUCUACUUGGAGCAUGAAAAAAUGCGCAAUGCCAUGAUUGAGAUGCCCGUUUUGGGCAUAUGCUGUGAUCAUAGUAUUCCAGGACACAGUGUCCAAAUGUUCCGGCAUCUCGCUAAACAUUUUCUUUGCAAAGGUGAGAUUCCCUACCUGUGAAUAUCCCGCGAUAGCAAUGUUCCACACCACAAUGUCCCGGAAAGGCAUUCUUUCAAACACCAAUCUUGCUUCCAGCAUAUACCCAUAUUGGGCAUAUGCCGAGAGCAUUGUCGUGUGGAUCAAUAUGUCAUGCCGAGGCAUUAGAUCAAAAACACGCUUCGCAUCUUCCAGAUACCCGUUGUGGGAAUAUCCAUUAAACAUUACUGCCCAGGCGACUACAUCUCUUUCAGGCAUGGAAUCAAACACGCUUCUGGCCUCUUCCAAAUGCCCCUUUUGUGAAAACGCCGCCACCAUUGUGGUGAGAGAAGCCAUAUCAAAUUCUGGAAUUCUCGAAUGGAAGAACUCUCUCGUGCGUUCCAAAUCUCCAAUUCUUGCAUAGAAAUGAAGAAGAACAUUCCAAGAUACUAUGUUCCGGCACGGCAUUCUCACAAAAACAUCUCUCACUUUCAAGAUAGACUCCGCCUGGGCAUACGAUGAAAGCAGUGAAUUCCAGCACAAGAGGCUAGCUUCUGGCAUCUCCUCGAACAAAUCUCCCGAUUUUUCCACGGGCAAAUACCAGCAAAAUCCCUGGAACAAAGUUUCCCAGGAAGAAUAAUCAUGCUGCGGCAUUAGAUCAAAAACUCGUAUUGCUUCCUUGAUAUGCCCUUCUUGGGCAUAUCCCGCGAGAAGAACAUACCAAGACACCAAGUUCUUCUCCGGGAUUAAAUCAAAGAGUUCCUUCGCUUCUUUCAAAUCGCCCUCUUGCGCGAGCGCCGCCACCAUCGCAGUCCACGAUAUCACAUCUCUCCCCGGCAUAGAAUCAAACACGGAGCGAGCUUGAGUGAUAUAUCCAUUGAGGGCAUAGGCCUGGAGCAGCGAAUUCCACGAGACGAUAUCUGGAAAUGGCAGUGAAUCGAAGAGCUUCUUUGAUUCAUCCACAUUUCCUUCACGCCCAAGAGCUGCAAUCAAAGAAUUCCAUGACACAACGUUCCAAUCAGGCAUUGCUUGGAAGAUCUCUCGAGCUUCCUGGACAAGCCCAGCAUCCGCGUAGGCCUGGAGCAUCGCAGUCCAGGAAACAAUGCUUCGAUCGGGCAUGAGAUCAAACAAUCUUCGAGCACCCGGCAAAUCGCCCUCCUUGGCAAUCGCGAUGAGCAUCACGGUCCAAGAGAUCACAUCCUUGGCCGGAAUUCGCUCAAAAAUCUCACGAGCAGCGUCGAUCUGCCCGGCAUCCGCGAGACCGCGCAAGAGCGUGUUCCAAGAAACUGCAUUGGGCCGCGCGAUUGUGUUGAACACUUCAGUUGCUUUGUCAACUUGCCCAUUCCGGGCAAAAGCUGCGAUCAUCGUGUUCUUCGCUUCGAUGGUCUUCACUGGCAUUUUCUCGUAAAGGGCAUUCGCUUGUAACGUCUCCCCAGCAGCACUAUAAGCCGCUAUGAUCGAAUUCCAUGAAACUGGUGUAUGAUGUUGCAUAGCAUUGAAAGUUUGUCUCGCUUCCAGCAGAUACCCAUUCGAGGCAAAAGCAUGAAUCAAGAUGUUCCAAGAGAAGGCGUUGGGCUGAUCGAUUGAUCGGAACACCGCGCGCGCAUCCUCGACGCAGCCACAUUUCCCAUACAUCUGGACCAUCAAGUUCGCAAGAUAGACGCUCCUUCGAUGCUUGCUCUUGAGAAUCCUGGCAUGGGUCUCGCGAGCAGCAACGAGAUCGCUGGUAUCGCCACAGUGCCGCAAGCACACUGCGAAUUCCUCCAUGAAUUGGUGAUCAUCGCGUGGGAGUUCUCGAGCGGAGGAGAUCAUGGUAUCAAAGUGGUCCAAGCAUUCUUGCCUAGAUCUUUUUGCCUAGCAAGCUCCCCAGCAAGAGAUAUGGAGAUGCCGAUCCAUUCAUUCCCAGCACCGAUCUCGCGGUCGAUCCGGCACGCGAUCCCCACAAGAUCUCGUCCCCUGCCACUGGCAUCGGCUCGAUCAGGCCCUCGGCAUCGCCCAAUCGGCCGGAUCGAUACAGCAUGUCCAUGACGCAGCUGUAGUGCUCCCACCACCAUCAAUUCGAAGAGCGCGCAGCACUGCUCCAGCUGCACGCCGCCAGGAUGCUCGUGAAGGCGAUCUGGUCGGGCAUCUCUCCCGCAAGCCAUCGAUUACGGCAGCGCAUUGGCCACAGUGGGCAUUGGGCACGAUAUUUGUGCUCCACGCCAGGACGUCCUUGCAAGGGAUGCAAUCGAAGGUGCAAUCAGCUCUAAUUGGGCAUUUUGGGCAUAGCCGCUGAUCAGGGGAGGAUCAUGUUGUGCUCGGGCAAAGGCAUCUUUUGCGCAAGAGAGAUCCCCAUUCUGGGCAUAUACCGUUAUGUUCCAGAAGUAGAUUCCUGUAAAAACCUUCAGGCCUGUGCCACCCAAGGAUCUAACUUGUUGUGAUUGGUCACUAGCCUGACAGCCUGACCCAAAAACUGCAGAAGUCUCACCCAGGGCUCCAUCUAAAUGCUGAUUCCCCACAUACCAAGAAAUAAUGCCCAAAACUCUCAGAGCACAGUGACUCAGCUCAAGGUGUUUGCAUGUGAUAUUGCAAGCCUCAAGUCAUCCCACUCUUAAACACACAAAAAAACUCCUAAACUCAGGAUACAAGUUCUAUCACAUUUUUAAAGAUCACUAUUAAACAUUGUUAAAUAUAAAAGCCCCAGGUGAGGCUUUACAAAGUCACAAACACUUCUCUUUUAUAUUACCAGCUUUUUCUUAAAUCCCAAACCUCUUGACUUGGAUUGCCAUAUUUUUCCUCUGCCAAAAUUGUCUUGUUUUUAAGAAGCACAAUCUUUUAUAUCUCCAUGAAUUCCUAUAUACUUGGAUCCAAAUUUCCUCAGGCAACAUACAUCUGCUUGAUCAUAUAUCUUUGAACCUUAUACAUGAGUUUUACAUGCUUUUUUUCUUCUUUUUUCUUCAAUUUUUGAAAAUGCAUUUUAAAAGUUAGAUAGAAAUUACCACCACAUGAGCUUCUUAAAGGAUGAAUGAAUAUUCCAAAUUUAUGGUGGUGUUGACAAUUACUUCUUUUGAUGAUAGUGUUUCUCUUGAUCCAUUGGAUUAUUAGUGUCUUGUUGAAGGUAUAUUUUCACAAAGAGAAAAAUAGAGUAAAAUGGUAUAUCCUUUGCUACCUCCAAUGAGAGAAUAACCUAUUUUGCACCAAAAACCAUCCCCACAAGCUAUAGUUAUUAAUGAUUAAUAACAAAAGAAGAAUUGUCAAAAAUUUUAAUUUUUUAUAUUUUCUUAUGUUUUUUCUAUUUUGCAAGUUAUCUUUUUAAGAAAUGGGCAAAUUAAAGGCUUGCUUACCAGAUGGUAUAACAAAGGAUGAUGAUUAGCUAUUAUUUAGGAUAAUUGAUUAUCUUUGUUAAAGAUAUUGCUUGAUUAUUAUUGAUAUUCAAUAAUUUAUCAUUCUUCAGGUUAGUGGAUUAUUCUUUGACAAUGAUUUUCAAUUUCUAUUGAUGAAAAUGAUUGAUGAUUUUGUGAUUCUUAGCUAUUUUCUUUGAGAGUUUUUGUUUUUCACAUUACCACAUAUUCUUUAUAGUUCACUUUGGAUUGAUUUAUUGAGUUUGAGAUAUUAGUAAAAUGUUGCUAUGCUUGUUUUGACAACUUUAGUUCUUUAAUAUUGUUAACUGAGAUUUAUUUAAAUUAAUUGGUGUGAUAAUUAGCAUAAAGGAGUGUUUAUUAGCUCUUGCAGCAUUUGGUUUUUGAGUUCUUAUACUCAUUAUUUCAUUUUUAGGAGUUGUUAGAGAAGGUAUUUUGGUUUCUUGCUUCUAAUGUUUGUAUUAGUUUUUGCAUUUAGUGAUCAUUAAUGAUGAUUGAUCAUUAUUUGGGAUAAUUGAUUAUCCUUGUUAAAAUCUUAUUUGAUUAUUAUUGAUGAUCAAUGAUUUUCGUUAUUGGGAUGGUUGAUUAUUCUUCAAUAAGGAUUUUUCAUCUCUAUUGAUGGGAGGAUUGACAACCUUUUGUAAGGGUUAGUUAUUAUAUUUGAUGGCUUUUAGAUUUUUGUAUUACUAUAUGCUUUUUGUGGUUUGUGUUGGAUUGGUUUUUUAGGUUUGAGAUAUUAGCAAAAUGUUGCUGAUGCUUGCUUAAGCAAUUAUAAAUCUUUAGUAUUGUUAAUUGGGAUAUAUUUUGAUUAGUGUGAUAGUUAACACAUAAAGAGUGUUUAUUAGCCCUUACAACAUUGAUUUAAAAUGUAUUGAUUAUUGUUAAAGGUUUUUUUGAUAAAUUGAGAUGUUAUUUCCUUUGGAUGAUACAUUUACAAACAUUUUUUUUGUUGGGAAAUAACACUUUAUGUCCUUAUUAUUGUCUUUUGUAAGUUAUUUUGUAUGCUCUCUUAGAUAUUUGGUAGUUCAAGCUUUAUCAUUAAGUUUAUUUAGUGAUAUGCUUGCUUUUAAAUUCUUUCAAGAUUGUUUAAUCUUAUGUCUUUAAAUUGUAAUGAUCUUGGUGGUUCUUAUACUAUUCUUGUUUACAAUAUGAUAACUUAAUUGGAAUAGUUUUGUAUCCUAAUCUAAUUUUAGUUCUUGAUAAACUGAUGUAAAUAUCUUUAUUUAUAACUUUAAUAUUGUUUAUCAUAUUGAUCUUGAUGUUUGGGUUAGUAUAAAAUAGAUUAGCUUUGGCACUUCAUGUGCAUUAUGAAAUUUUUAGUUAUGGGAUAACUACUAAUGACUAAUCACAUAACCUACCUUUCUCUCGAUGUUUCUAAUUUCAUUCUAAAGAUUGUGACUAUAUAAAUAACUCUAAUCACCUGUUUAUGUUAGUCUAUUUAAAACUUUACCGAUAGGUAUAGUUUGUCACUCAUAAGGGUUAGAGCUAUUGACUUCUCUCUAUAUGUCACAUGUAGGUAGAAGCAUAUCAUCUUUUAUAAGUUGAGUGACACCUAUAUUAGUCAUUUUUUUUAUUAGCGACAGCCUAUAGAUUUAACAUCUUUUGUGUAGAUAAAGAAAUCGUCCUNNNNNNNNNNNNNNNNNNNNNNNNNNNNNNNNNNNNNNNNNNNNNNNNNNNNNNNNNNNNNNNNNNNNNNNNNNNNNNNNNNNNNNNNNNNNNNNNNNNNNNNNNNNNNNNNNNNNNNNNNNNNNNNNNNNNNNNNNNNNNNNNNNNNNNNNNNNNNNNNNNNNNNNNNNNNNNNNNNNNNNNNNNNNNNNNNNNNNNNNNNNNNNNNNNNNNNNNNNNNNNNNNNNNNNNNNNNNNNNNNNNNNNNNNNNNNNNNNNNNNNNNNNNNNNNNNNNNNNNNNNNNNNNNNNNNNNNNNNNNNNNNNNNNNNNNNNNNNNNNNNNNNNNNNNNNNNNNNNNNNNNNNNNNNNNNNNNNNNNNNNNNNNNNNNNNNNNNNNNNNNNNNNNNNNNNNNNNNNNNNNNNNNNNNNNNNNNNNNNNNNNNNNNNNNNNNNNNNNNNNNNNNNNNNNNNNNNNNNNNNNNNNNNNNNNNNNNNNNNNNNNNNNNNNNNNNNNNNNNNNNNNNNNNNNNNNNNNNNNNNNNNNNNNNNNNNNNNNNNNNNNNNNNNNNNNNNNNNNNNNNNNNNNNNNNNNNNNNNNNNNNNNNNNNNNNNNNNNNNNNNNNNNNNNNNNNNNNNNNNNNNNNNNNNNNNNNNNNNNNNNNNNNNNNNNNNNNNNNNNNNNNNNNNNNNNNNNNNNNNNNNNNNNNNNNNNNNNNNNNNNNNNNNNNNNNNNNNNNNNNNNNNNNNNNNNNNNNNNNNNNNNNNNNNNNNNNNNNNNNNNNNNNNNNNNNNNNNNNNNNNNNNNNNNNNNNNNNNNNNNNNNNNNNNNNNNNNNNNNNNNNNNNNNNNNNNNNNNNNNNNNNNNNNNNNNNNNNNNNNNNNNNNNNNNNNNNNNNNNNNNNNNNNNNNNNNNNNNNNNNNNNNNNNNNNNNNNNNNNNNNNNNNNNNNNNNNNNNNNNNNNNNNNNNNNNNNNNNNNNNNNNNNNNNNNNNNNNNNNNNNNNNNNNNNNNNNNNNNNNNNNNNNNNNNNNNGAUAGAGUAUGGAAUAUCUAUAUUCUUACAUUAUACUAUCGAUAUCCUAAGAUAGCACUAGACUUUAUUUGCUCUGUUUUGUGUGUUAGUUUUGGCAUUCACAUGUUAGAAGAUUUAGAAUUAUUUCAAUAAUGCUCUAUGUUUCAGGUCCUUCACUCUAUAGCUUUAUACUUAGGAGUUCGGCUCUAUUUUUUUAUUUAGUGGUUUAAAAUUCUAAGCUUUAGGUUUUGCUCCAUUGCCUUUGGCACAUGUAUCCAAAGGUUAGGUUUACUUUGUGGUUACCUUAUGGUAAUUCAUUAUAGGGUAUAGAGCAAAAAGCAAUGCACUAUACUUAGUAUGUAUUAAAUUCAUAAAAUUCAAUUUAGAGACUCUAAGCCUAAAUCCAUCUCUAGUUUAGAAAAAGAAAAGAUGCUUAUGUCAAAAACUAGAUAGAAGAGAUAGUUAUAAUAUCAUUUUAGGUCUUUUUUUCUUCUAUUUUCUUUUAUUUUGUUAUAGAAAAAUCUUGAUAUUUGAUGAAUUCAAUGUUCAAAUUCAAUCUAGCACUAUUAGGAUUUGACAAUAACUCUCAAGCUGCCACAAUCUCUAGAUAAUAUACAAAACUUUCUUAGAGAGAAUGGUGGGGAUGGAGAAAAAUUAACUUGUUUAAUCCUACUAAGAAUUCACAUGACACUCCUUCAUAGAUUAUAAAAAUUGGGAAUUGUGAUGGUUGAGAUAAAGAGGGUGGUAGUGGCAAUGUGUAAUUUUAGAUAUCAAAAAUUAUUUUUCAACAAAUCCUUUUGGAUAUUCUUCUUUUAUCACUAUGAUGGUAGAAAAUUAAUAUCAUUAAUUCCUUUUAUCAAUUUCUGCCCAAGUUAAUUGAGAAAGUGGUCUUCACAUAUGUAGAAGAGCAUAAAAAUAGAAUUCCUUAUUAGUCAAGUAUAUUUGACCUAGUUAGAGAAACUCAUAUUAAAUAGCACUUGCUAGUCUUGGGAACCCUUGCAAUAUUCAAUUUAAUCACUUAAUAUUUAUUAUAUAAUAACUUACUAUAUCCAAUAAAUACUCUCACUAGCAUUUCCCAUGUGUUAGUCUUAUAUUAGUCUUAUUAGCUAUUUAUAAAAAAUGUCUAGAUUUGCUAGUUAAGUAUAUCUAUAAAAUAUAUAAUUAUCAUAAACAUAAUGGUGUUGCUCAUAUAUCCAAAUUCACAAACUAGUGUCAUUGUAGGGAUAAUGAGUAGAUCAUCAAUUUAAGAUAUUGUUUGGCUCUUUAUUAGGUGUGUCUGCCUUUAUUCUAUAUCUGACUUGGGUCUAAGCCCAAGCUUCAUAUCAUGUUAGUUAGUGAAGUACCCAUAUCCUUUUGGUAAACUAAAAAAUAUAUGAAAAUAAUGUUAAACUUCAUUUAACUAUAUGUUAUAUAUUAGUUUUAGUGUAGGGAUAUUGGAUGAUUUAAGAUUAUUCUAAUGUUAUUUUGUGUAUAUAUUCUUUCACUCCUCGAUUAUGUUUGGGAGUUCGGCUCAAGGCCCUAAAACUUAAAUCCCACUUUGUUGUCCUUAGCACAUAUGUCAAAACUCUAUGGCUACCUUAUGCUAAUUCACUAUAGGGUAUAAGGUCAAAACCUCAUAUACUACAUAAUGGUUAAUAGAUAAAAAGAUCUAACCACCUAUAAUUAAUGUUACAAAAGGUUUGACAGUCAACCUUCUUAUGUGAUAUGUAAUGACUAGGGCUGGAAAUUUAAAAUUCUAACAGCUUGCAAGCUAGAGAAGAAACAUCAGCUCAUCCAUAGAAAAGAGUAGAUCAUGCUAGAAGUUCCUAGAAAAUAACUCAUUCAUAUACAAGAGUUGAUGAUCCUUGAUGAUCUAGAGCUCUUCCAAGACCUCAAACCCACCUAGUUAGCUUAUAUUACAAGUUGGGAGUGCCAUAUCUAGCUUAUAACUAAAACUUAUUUUACAAAUUUUAUUGAUUACAAAUGAGUUAGAGAAACUUUAGGAGCAAAAAAUGUCAUUAGAUUUAAAUAAUAUCCUAGAAUAUAUAUAUAGUAAAUAUAAGCUUCAUACCUUUGAAAACUCUUAUAUACAUAAUCAUAGUCACAUAAAUAGUGUUCUUAUUACUUUGGAUAAAUUGGAGUCUAUGUAUAAGACUAAGAUAUGCUAGGAUUUAUAAGCUCUGAUCAGAAUAUACCAUAAGCAUAUUUUAAACAGCUAUGUAUUUUCCAUGGUAUGAUUGACUUUGCCAUCUUAAUUUAUUCACAUUGUGUGGCAUCCUGUAGCAAAAGAGUUAAAAGAUCAUAAUAAAAAGUAUCAAGCUUCAUAUUAAAAGCAAAGGUUGAUUGACCCUUGAUUAGUAUACUGUAAUAAAUGAACAAUAUCUACAUUAUAUCUCAUUAUGUAUCAUAAAUUUCAUGUUUAAAAUAUAUUAAAUUAAAUUUAAUGUAUCUAGCUAGGAAAAAUAAUCCUAAAGUAAGGAGAUAAUUAUAUCUUAUUUACCAUACAUAGUCUUCAUAAUUGAAAUUAAGAGGUCAAGUUCAAAUUAGCAGUGAUGUAUCAAUUUUCAGUAAUAUAAUGCUCAAAUAAACAUAAUUUUCCUAGUCUGCUUAUACUUGAUAAUGCCUUUUAUGUCCUAAAAAUAAAUAUAGAAAAGUUAAAUAUAUAAACUUGUAAAGUUAAUUUAACUUUAUUUCUGAUUUCACAAUAAAAAAAUAAAAUAAAUAAAAGUGACUGAAAAAUUUUAGUAAAUAAAUUUAUUUAUAUAUUUUAUAUUUAAAAUCUAAUAAAGUUUUUGCCAUGAUUUCUUGUAAUGGUAGUCAAUAUUUACUAUCAUUUUUCUAUAUUAUAUUUUUGUUUAUGAAUUUACCUUUUGUUGUUUCUCCAAGGAAAGGAGCAACUUUUGGAAGGCUUGGAGUUUUAAAAACACAUGAUAUUACUAAAAUUGUUGGGGCAAUUACAAAUUAUUUAUCUACAUUUGACGAUAAAGAAAAAUACUCAAGAAUUUUAACCAAUAAUAUAGAAGUACUAACUUCUACAGGAUAUGUUGAUAUAUUAUUAAAAACAAAAUAUCAAUGUAGUACAUCAUCUACUCCCAAAACUAUAGUUGGUGGAAAUUUAAAAAGAGGCUUUGAAAGUAUUAUAUAUGGUAGUAUGACUGCUUUAAUCCAAAAUUUAUCUGACUUUUUUGAAAAAGAAACACUUUCUUACUAUGUGCAAUAUAAGCUAAGAGGUAGCAGUCAUGAUGAUCUUUUAUUUAUACAUAUAAAUAAUAUUCAAAAUAUUAUUUAUUGUAAUCUUAGAAGUAGUACUUUAUUUUCAGAGUUUAAAUUAUUUUCAGGUAACUUUUUAAUCUCUCAAAAUGGUAAAAUUUUCUUAAUAUUAGAAUCUUCAUGUAGCCUUAUAUUAUAUUAUGAAAAGUCUAUAAUUUGGAAAGUAGAACGAUUUUCUUUUAAUUGUUAUUUACUUUUACAACUUGAUGGCAAUUUAGUUUUAUAUAAUAAUAAUAAAAUGGCUAUCUGGGCUACUAAUAGUAAUUGUAAAUUUAGUUAUUGCAAUUUACCAUCAAUUUUUACUGUUCAAAAUAAUUGUAAUCUAAUACUUUAUUCUGCAAAAUUUCCUAAUGAUAUCUUAUGGACGUCAAAAACAUCAUGCAAGAUAUGAAUGAAAUUUCAAUUUUAUAAAACUAGAUUUUAAAUAAAUAUAUACAAGUUUUGACAAAUUUCAUGUGUGUGUCUAUAUAUAUGUAUGUAUGUAUGUAUCUAUAUAUAAUAAAAUAGGUUUAGCUUGAAAAAAUAGUUGUGAAAACUGAUUUAGUUAGAAAAUAGAGCUGCUAUAUAUAUAUUCUAUAUGAAAACUUCUAUAUAACUAUAGUAUAUACAUUAUUUAGUUAGACCAAUUUACAUCUAAGCUUAUUUUUAUAUAUAAGUUUUUAUUUAUCUUUUAGUGUGAGUUUGACCAUCUAAUGAGCAUUUUAAGUGUUUAAUUCCUUCUAUCUAAAAAAAUAUAAGAGGUUUAUGAGUUUUCAACACUAAAAACACUACAGUAUAAAGGUAAUGCCUCCAUAUUCAUAAAGUUUGAAUAAUCAAAACCUGUAGCACAUAUGGUUUUCACUGUUCAAGUUAUGAUUUACCAUAAGAUAAUCAUGAAUACCUAAAAUGAAUUGCUGAUAGGUGACUUUCAAUACUGCAGUCAUAUUUGCAAUAGAUAUACCAUCAAUAUGAAACAUAAAAGUAUUGAUUAAUAAAAUUUUCAAUGCAACUAAACUGUUCUCAUAUGCCUUUUUCCACUCAAAUGGCACAUUCUUAUACAAUAACUAUAUAUAAGCCACCUCUACAAACUUGCACUAAAAAUAUAACACAUAAAAAAUCAUUUGUAGGAUCCUUUAAAAAUCCCACUUAUAAAGUUGGAUUUCCUAAACACCUAAAUUUGGAGCCAAUGAAACAAGGGUCUAAUAUGCAAUCAAAUGCAAACAAGUUCCCCAUAUUCAGCUAAUGCACACAAAAUAAUGGUAGACAGAAUUUAACACAAUUUAAGCAUAUUGGUGGCCUAAUGCCACUUACUAUCAUAGUAUAGAGCUUGAGAUCUAAGCCAAAUAUAGAACAAAGAGUUAUAUAACCUGCUAGAAGAGAAAUUAAUGUUUUAGGUGGUCAACCAUACUUUUGACCACUAUUAUACAUUUGGAAAACCUCUAUGCUUGUAUAAAAGUUCACCCAAUAUUAGGAAAUAAUCUUUGGGAUAAAAUUGAAAACUUACUAAAUAUAGAAUAAUACUAAAUUGAGAAUCUAGAUAUAGUGUUCAAAACAUUCUCUACCUCAUUGAUAAAUAUAUAUACUUCUUAUAAAUAACAUAUAAGACCAAGUGUCAUAUGUUAGGGCAUGAUAACAAAGAUGUUUGGUGGACAUGAUAAGUUAUCAUGUAAUGAUAUUAAGGGACUAGGCUCAAUAUCAUGGGAGUUGAUGCUAACAAGUGGAAGCAAAGGACAUAAAUUCCUUAUAUUGGGCUAAGUAUGCUCAACAAGAAACAUAUAAGAGUUUCUACUUUAUGUUUAUCUAAUCUAAAUAAACAUACAUUGACUAGUUUUUUAACUAGCUCAAAUGGGAAUUAUUAGGAGAUACAAAAAUAUCAAUCUCUUGCUAUCAUAGUAAUAAGGAAAGUCCAAAAAGAUUGGCUGAUAAAUAUCUUGCAAAAUCAUUGUUGAAGAAUAAUCCACCAACUUGACGAAUGAUGAAUUAUCAAACAUCAAUAAUAAUUAAGCAAGAUCUUUAUUAAGGAUAAUCAACUAUCCAAGAUAACAAUCAAUCAUCACUAAUAAUUGCUAGGUGCAAAAACCAACUUGAGCAUCAAAACCAAUGAGUCUUGACAACUUCUAAUAAUAAAACAAUAAGUAUAAAAAUUAAAAAAACCAAAAUCUUAUAAAAGUCUAUUGCCAAGUUUUAUAGAAUAACAGUGACAAGUCUUACAUUGACUAUUGACAAUGCCCAAAAAGAAAUUAUAGUACAACCCUAUAAUAUCCUGUUUAACACAUCUAUAAACUAAAACUUUAUAAUGCACAAGCUAAUGAAGAGAAUAACUGCAUCAAUUCAAAAGCCAAGCCUAACAAAGUUAUGUUCAGGAAGUGAUCACCAAACCAAUCCUCCAUAAAUCCAUAUUCUAUAUCAAAAUGUAACUCAAGUUAUAAUAAAUAUAAGAAGAAGCAUUAAUGAUUGUUAUUCUUAAACUCAACCAACAAGGAUUUAAUAACUCUAAUAUCAAUCACUAACUCUUCAUUUUGCAAAGUUAACAUAGUCCAUACUAAAUUACUUUCAAAGAAAAGCCAAAACUCAACCACUAAACAAUUUUGUUUAAAAUAUAGAUACCCUAAUUUGCCACUCAUCUUAUUUAAACCCUAAUAUAGUUGUUAACACACGAAUGCUAAUAACAUAAAGGUAUAACCAAAUUAUCAAUACCAUUUUCACCAAGAUUAGCAAAAUAAAAUGUCAAUCUCCAAUAAAGCUAUAACUAAUAACUAAGCAUUUGAUUCACUACAGAUGGAAAAUUUGACAUGCCUAUAGAGAAAACAUCCUAUCUCAUUCUAAUCUUAACUUCAAUAAUGUCAACAUUAAAGCAUAAUUUCAAUGCCGUUAAGACUAAAACAAAGCUAGAAGAAGGUAAGAGUGAAUCAUCACUUAAAUCUCUUUAACAACCAAGGUUAACCAAGGUUAAAGAUACUAUACUUAGUAUUUGAGGCCAAUCUGUCAAGAAUACUUAGUUAUAGAUAAUAUAUCAUUAAGGAGUGAAUCAUCAUGUAUAAGACUCAAUACAAUUUAAAAUCAUGAACUAAACUUAACUAGAUAAUAUUAACAUAGGUGGAUCAAUAAUCCCACCAACACAUCUAGCUAUAACUUUGAGCAUGACUGAAGAAGUUAACUACAAAUGAUUAACACUCAAUUGAAACUAAAAUGAUAACUAUAAGAUGGGCUUAUAUAUAUACAUAACCUCCUAAUAAACAAGGUUACAAUAUAGGUACUAACACUAUAACUACAAAACAACUAAGCUAGAUAUCACUAUCUUCAACCAAUUAUAAGUAACUAAAGAGAACAAUUUGAAAGACAAUUUAUAAAGGUUCAAAUAUAAAAGAAAAGGGAAUACACCCCAUUUUCUAAUUAAUUAACAAUUUUAGGAUGUUUAGGGUUAAGCAUCAUUGGAUUUGGGUAUUAUACUGGAUGACAUCUCAAGAAGUCCAAAUUGAGGAAAUAGUAUUAAAAGGGUAUUGAGUCUAAGUUUAUUGGUUGGUUAGGGGAAUCACACUAUAUGUUAAGAUUGACAGUUGGUAGUUUAAUUUGCUUUAGUUAAGCUCAACCCAAGAGAUAGGGUGUCAAUAGGCAUUUAGUAAUCCAAUUUACUUUAGCUAGGCUCAACCUAAGGGGUAGGGUGUUAAGAGAGUGAAGCUCUUAAAUUUUGUUCACUUGUAAGGAAAUAUAGUAAAUUGUAAGCAAUUGAUCUUUUUGAUUGGGAUAAAAGAGAAUGACUCAAAAGACAAUUUAUAAAGGUUUAAAUAUAGAGUGCACCCCAUUUUCUAAUUUAUUAAGGGUGUUGGGAUACUUGGAAUUAAGUGUUUUUAGGUUUGAAUAAUACUUACUAAGAUAUUUAUUACUUGGAGUUAAUGCUUACAAGUGUAUGGCUACCAAGACCAAGUCAAAAUCAAUAAAAGCUCACUACUCCCAUAGAGUUUAACUCAAAUGCAAGGUGUAACCUGCCACUAAAUAUAACACUAUCUAAAAAAGGCAUAAUUCAUAACCUAAGUUUUAUUCAUUGAUAAUUUGGUCUCUAAAAUAUCUUUGUCUAUGACUUUGAUAUCAUCCAUCUAAUUAAUCUAAUCUAAGGGUGUGAAAGCUAAUUGCCUAUUUACAAUAGUCUAUUUAAACCUUACUGAUGGGUUUGGUUUAUUUACUUAUGAGGGUUGAGGUCAUUAGCAUCUCUCUCUAUAUCACAUACAGGUAAGGGCAUAUCAUCUUUUAUAAACUUAGUGACUCCCAAAGCAGUAAGGAUGGCUAAUUUUAUUAGUUAUUUCCUUGUUGAUGACAACUGGAAGGUGUAUAAGUGUUAAUAUGUUUUGUGUAGACAAGUGACUAAAUUUUCCAUUCUACUUUAACCAUUUAAUUAUAUCUUUGACCACUUGGAGGAGUUUCACUCACGAACUCUAUAAGUUUUAUUCCUAACUUGGGAACAUGCUAAGUGGUCAUCCCUUGACCACACCAUAGCACCCUUAAGAUGCCCAGAGACAUAAGAAACACUCAAUGUUUUUGCUUUAAUCCCCAUCAUGUCCCUAUUCAUCCAUAGUUGUGCUUGCUAACACCGCCACUAGGUUAAGGCCUAAAGGCCUGACCACUAAAUCCCAUUGACCUCUGGGACUUCCUCACCAUAUGACUAUAUCCUUAAUCAUUACACCAAAGGAUUGUUCUUCUUCUUUUCUAGAGUUUGGGACUUUAGGAUAAUAUUUCAAAACACCAUAGCCAUAUGUGAGCCUCGUGAGUACUCUCCCCACUUUCUGCCCUUAGGUGCCUUAGCCAUGUGGCUAGAGCAAGGUUCUAAUGAGCCACACCAAGGUUAGAAUUCCACUUCAAUCACUACCAUAUGGCACCCUUUUGAUUCCACUUUAGGGCUUAGGGAUUUGUGUCUCACAACUCUGACACCCAUAAACGAAAUUCGAUGUCCUCAUCAAAUGAUAAAUCAUUUUAUAAAGUAACACUAUCAUAUAUUACCCUUUCCAUCCUUAACACCAAGCUAAUAUUUAUCGAUGGUUCAACACCGAAAGAUCACCAUGCUUUGCCCAUCCUCUAAGGAGCAUAAUUUCUCUAACUUAAAGACUCAUUCGACCACUUGUGGUGGUUCUCUCCCUUUAUUAGUUUAGUUUUCAUUAAACUUAUUAGAGACACCUUCUCUAUUUCAAUCUCAUUACUCAUUUCUGAGUAGUCUCAGCUUCUAUUAACAUAUCCAUUGCAUUUUGGAACUUUUAAUUUUGACUUCUUGAAGUUAAUUUCUUGGGUGUCUCCAACACCUUGCAUUACAUAUGUUGUGGAAAUUCCACUUCUCUAUCCUUGGAAGCUUUUUACUUGAGGGCACCAUCAUCCUCUCUUUUAUUUCAUGCUACUCUAGACACUAAGUGCUAUUUAUCCAUAAUUUGUGCUAAGGUUGUCUAUAACUCUAUCAUUUGGCUACUUUGCUACUCCAUCUCUUGGAACUUUAUUCUUCACCACAUUAGAGUGUUAGAGAAAUUCAUCCUUGGAAACCUGUUUCCUUUCCCACAAUCUAUUAGUAUCCACCACUUAAUAGUUCCUUUUCUAACUUGUCAUUUAAAUUCCUUCCAAUGAUUUCUAUGAUUCAUUCUUGGCCAUUAGUUUUUUGCUCCUAUCCUUUGAUUGUUGUAUAUACCUUUCUGAUGUGCUCUUUUGGAUAUUUUAUUAUCCAUCCACUACCUUGGAAUGUAAACAUAUCCUCUAAUGGGAAAGGCAAGUAUUCAUUAUAUACCUCUGCUUCAACUUGUAGUACUAUCAUUUUUGCACACAAUUCUCCUAGUUCAACAUAGUAUACUUUACACAUUGGGUCCAGAUUCUCUAUCAUUGCUCAACCUACUUCUCUUCCAGUCUCUAUAAAAAGUGAGACAAUGAUAAUGAGGUUACUUCUUUGAUAGUUUUAUACAACUUUUCAACUUUAACUUAUAUUUCUUACCAGUUGCUUAUAUAAAAAACAUGUCUCCAACUUCUAGACACCACUCUAUCAUCAAGGUUUCCACUGUAAGAAAAAUGAAUUUUAUAAAAACCUUUGCAUACCUUAGAAUUCACUAGUUGAUGCUACACUUUUUUUAUGCCACACCCAUCACUGGUUUAAUUUGUGCACGUUGGAAAUGUGAAGUAUAAUUAUAGUGAUGAAAAAUAUAGAAAGUUUAUAAAGAUCUACUUACAACAUCAUUGAUGUUUUCACAACUAUGGUGUUCCAUAAAUUCUCCUUUGGAUCCAUAUCCAAUGAACUCCUAUAGAAAAAACUCAUAUUUCACAUCAAACUAUACCAAUGACAUAAGAAAGAUAUAUGCCUUUGUAGUUGCAUUUUUAUUAUGAACAUUCAUCAAAUUGGUAAUAGGUAUUGGUUGUAAGAUAAGAAAAAUAUCAAUAGGUAAUUGAGAACGUAAAAGCUUACAAUAGUUGAGGUGGUUAGGUUUUCAAACUUAGAGGGUAAGUGUGAGAUUUAGAUAUGUCAUUGAAGUCAUUACUUUGUCAUCUUAUCCCAAUGCUUCAACAUCUGCAAACACUGAAUCUAAGGAACAUCAAGUUAUAUACUCUAGCCAAGAUAUUAUUGUGAGACACAAAUCCCUAAACCCCAAAAUAGAACUGAAAGUGUGCCAUAUGACAAUGAUCGAAGCGGAAGUCUAACAAGUGUAACAUAUUUAGACUAAAAGCUCCAACUCGGAAAGUCGAGAAUGGGAAUGGAACUCCAAAUAAAAUGCUCAAGGAAUAAGCACGAAGUGAUCAAUGAAUAAGUCUCUAAAAAGGGAUAUAAGAGGGACUAAUAUAUGGCAAGUGUCAUGACACAUGGAAGUGUAAGGACUAAGUCUGAGAAGGAGUCCGAGAAGGAAUCUAAGAUGGAGUCCAAGAUGGAGUCCGAGAAGGAGUCCGAGAAGGAGGCCGAGAUGGAGUCCGAGAUGAAGUCUAAAAUGGAGUUUAAGAAGGAGUCUGAGAUGGAGUUUGAGAUGGAAUCCAAGAAGGAGUCUAAGAUAAAGUUUGAGAAGGAGUUCAAGAUGGAAUCCAAAAAGGAGUCCAAGAUGGAGCUUAAGAUCGAGUUCGAGAUGGAGUCCAAGAAGGAAUGCGAGAUGGAAUUCGAGAUGGAGCCUAAGAUCGAAUCCGAGAUGGAGACUGAGAUCGAGACCAAGACCGAGAUAGAGACUGAGUCCAAGUCUGAGUCCAAAUACUAAUGAUGGUGAAAGCCCAAAAAGAUUAUCCCUUGGAAGGUUGCGAAGGGUUCCAAAAGUAUAGUAAAGAAAGUGUGGGGGUUGGACUCGAGUGGAAUUAGUUUAACUAGAAAAGGCUAAUGUGACCUAGUAUGACUUAGGAAGGCUACACCUACAUAGUGGGUGAUGAUAUAACCACUAAAGAGUCCAAGGCUAAAGUGAAUAUAAAUAAACAAGUAGGGUAGUUUGGUGAAGUGUUCAAGAGUCGACUAUAACUCCCCUAAGAGAUCAAAUGGUCGAUACUCCCAAUCCAAGUAUGGGUGGCACUAUCUAUUUGGAUAUUUAGUAUGGCUCAUCAGAACUUCACUCUAGCCAUAUGGCUAGAGCAUCCAAAAGCAAAAGGUGGGGGUAGUACCCAUGAGGCAUAUGUUGGGCCACAGUGUUUCAAAAUGGCUAGGGCAUCUAGAAGCAGAAGGUGGGGGAAUACCCACAAGGCUUGGGCUAGGCUACAGUGUUUCAAAAUAUCAUUCCAAAGUCCCAAAUUAUAGAAAGGAAAAAGAACAAUCCUUUUGUGUAGAGACUAAGGAUAAAGUCACAUAGUGAGGAAGUUCUAGAGGUUAAUGGAACUUAGUGGUCGAGCCUUUGGUGUAAGCUCUUAAAUUUGGAUUUCCUAGAAUAUCAUUUAACUCAAUACUAUUCAAACUUAAAAAUGUUCAACCUCAAAUAUCCCAAAACUUUUAAUCAAUUGGAAAAGAGGGUGCAUUUUUGUUCAUGAGUCCUUUCCCUUUAUAUUUAAACCCUUAUAGACUAUCUCUCGAGUCAUUCUUUAUGGUUGUUUAUAAUCCACUAUGUUUCCCUACAAGUUCACACCUUCAUGAACAAGAGAUGAGAAUCACAACCCUCCUAAGAGCUCUGCUCUUUUGACACCUUACCUUUCAAGUCAAGCCUAACUAGAGGCAAAUUAAACUUGCUAGAUGUCAAUUUCAAUAUAUGGUGUGAUUCCCUUAGCCAACUAAUAAAGUUAAACCCAAGAUAUCUUUAAUACCAAAUGUAAACUCUUGAGUUUGGACUUCUUUGGAGGUCACCCAAUCUAAUACUAUUCAAACCCAAGGAUAUUUAACCCUAAGUAUCCCAGGACCUUUAACCAAUUAGAAAAAAGGGUGCACUCUUAUUUAUGGGCUCUUUCCCUCUAUAUUUAAACUCUUAUGGACUAUUUUUCAAGUUAUUUUUUGUAAUUACUUAUAUUUAGGCUUUAAUCCAAUGGUAGUAUUAGUGAGCACAACCAUGGAUGGAAAGGCAUUUAAUAAGGAUUAAAGAAGGGAUAUUAGGGAAAGAUUUCUCCUAUGUCUCUAGGCAUCCUAAAGAUGCUAAUGUGUGGUUCUAAGAUAACCACUCAUGGACAGAUAGCAGUCUUUAAGAGACUGGACUAUGGCACGAGUGGUCUUAAACUACCGAUGAGACAAAGGCAAAUGGACAUAAUCUUAAUAUAAUGCUAAUAUGUUAGUGGUACCUUUAGGGUGUAUAUCAUAAGAUUGGACAUAUGGAGCAUUUAAAAGUGCAAAGGCUAAGUGGCAUAAAUGCGCUAACAUAUCCCUAAAUUGGGAAUAAAACUUAUGAGGUUGUGAGUGAGACUUCUCCAAGCGGUCAAAGAUGUGGUUAAGUGAUUAAAAUAGAAUGGAAAAUUUUGUCAUUUAUAAUUGUAUCCUAUGUUAAAAGAAAAUAAUAAUUAAUCUCAGCAAAACUUUCAUAAGAAACUAUUGACAACCAUUACCUUAGUCAUUAACGCAUCAACUGGUCUACUCCUAUUAGGAACAAGAGUAUUUUAAUGAGGAUUUUAAACUAGGAUUUAUUCAUUUUCCAAGUGAUAAAUUCUGUCAAACAUUUGAAGUUAAGCAUCGCUCUUUCCAAGGGGUGGAAGCUUGUGAAAUGCUACAUCAAAGGUAAGCUCUUUCCAAUUUUUUCUUCUAGGUCAAGCUUACUUCUAAAAACUAAAAAUUUCCAUCAUGAAAUAUGGGCCUUCUAUUGGACAGUUUAUGUACUAUCUAGAUCAUGUAUUUAAAAAAAUUUGAACCCCUUCUUUAUGUACAAUUUGACUGUUUAUUGUAUAAAAUUUUAAUUAAAUCAAAGCUCUCAAGAAUGUACCUGAAUAUUCUAGGAUAUUUUAUGAUCUUUACAUUUAGAUUAAUAUUAAUUAUAAACAUGUCUAUAAUUUAUAAACUUUUAUAAACACCAAGUAAAUUUGGUCUAUUACAUUUAGUCUCUUUUCCUAAAAUGAGUUAGUUUUGCAUUAUUUUAUGGCAAUACCUUUAUGCUAUAGAUUUCAUUUAUUCACCCUGCCAUGUAGACCCCUACAAGUAAUCUUGGUGAACCAUGGAUGUAAGAUAAUGAUGUUUGGCUAUUAGGUGCUAGCUUUGACCAUGUGGUCAACAAGCACUUUAGAGGUUUAUAGUGGUAAUAAGAAAGUUUUUUUUCAUAGGCAUGGUAAGGAACCUCAAAAAGAACUGUAGUAGCUUAGGCAAUUAUCUUUGUUGUUUAAUACUAUGUCAUAAUAUUAGUAUCAUUGUGAUAGCUGACUAAUGAACAUUGGAAUCUUAAAGUUGAUGGUGGUGCCAACAAGUGCUGAUGGAGGUUGUGAGGUUUGGACUAUCAACAAUAUCAUUUAUGAGCUGUGAGCCCUUAAUAAAAAUUAAUAAGAGAUAUCUGAUUGUUAAGUAUGAUGUUUGAAUAUGUUGAGGCAUUCAAUGAUAGUGCUCCAAGAAAAGUAGAUUAACUCAAGAUUUUAAACAUUUCUAGUGAUAAUGGAGUGAUGAGUGUUUGGCAUGGUUAGCCAAUGUGAAGAAGUCUUUAGCUACCAAAGAAAUUUUAGUGGUUAUUCUAAUGGUUUUGCAUGAUAUAUAUCUUCAAUGGUGGAAUUAGCUUGAUAAGUUUUAUGUUGUAAAUAAAAAACCACUAGUGUCUACAAUAGAUGAGUUCAAGGCUUUUUUUUUUUUUUGUUUAUGUUUAGCCUCUCACUAUACAUGGAGAAUGCUUGCACAAAACUUUAAAACUUCUAUUGAUUGACACUUGGAGACUACAUUAAAAAGUUGAAUUUCUUGAUUAGUUAUGUUCUAAUCAAAUAUCUAAAUUAAAACAAAUCCUACUUCAUUAAUGGCCUUCAAAAUGAGAGUAUGAAUUAACAUUUACAUCAUUUCAUCAUAUAAAUGGAAGAGCUCUUUGAUAUCACUUAAAAAUGACUUAUAUGCUUGUUAACUCAACUAUGUGUUGAGUAAAACAUAAGCUAAUAACACUUAUAUAUCAAUUUUAUGUUGGAGGGUUUGUUCCAUGACAGUCUAAUAUGAAUUUUAUUGGACAAUGAGAGUAAUAACAAUUUCUUUUCCUUUUUUUUUAUAAAGUUUGUUGAGGAGAACAACCUGGUGACAUAAGGAGUUCUUUUUACAUAAUAAAAGGUGUAGCUACCUUUAAAUAUUAUUUUAGUGCUUGUAUAGAUAGUUAAAAAUAUUGGUUGAUAACAUCAUACUUGUGGAAACUUUUUAUCUUACAAAAUCUAUUGUAUGGAUUAUAUUUUAUGAUUGAUGGAGAUAAAAUAAAGCAUUAAGCAUGUUUCAUUAAAGUAUGGUAGUGUUAAGGAUGUGUGGUAUAAAAAGGAAGUUCAAUUGUUAUGAUUUUUAUUUAUAUCUUUGAAAUGGAUUUAUUAUAAUGGAAAGGCAAUUUUAAGUUAUUUAUUGUUUAUUCAUGACUUAAAGACCAAGACACAUGUGAAAGGAGGCAAUAAUGUGGGAUGUGCUUGAGAAGUUUGUUAAUGUCUUUCCAUUUAAACUUUCUCAUGGGUUACUUCUAAUCCAAGGUAUAGAGUAUAAUAUUAUGCUAACAAUGACAUUUUAUUAGCAAACUAAGCUAUGUGGAGGAAUAAGAAAUUUAAUGACAAAAGAAGUUACUUGAUUUUAGAUUUAGUCAACCAAGUCUAUAUGGCACACCAGUCUUGCUUGUGAAAAAGAAUGAUAGCUCAAUUAAUAUUGAUGUGUAUUGAUCAUGCAUUAAACAAGAAAAUGACAAAGGAUAAAUUGAGCAAUGGAUAUUAUUAGAUUGCAAUAUAUGAUUUAUUUAUCUUCAAUAUAGUAUUCAACACAAGUUUCAAAUAUUUUGAAUUACAAUUAUGCUAUUCAGAUUGACAAUUACACCAACAAUGUUUACUCGGUUGGUGAGUGUUACUUAUACAAGUUUUUAGAGAUUCUUUUUGAUGAUAUUUUUGUUUUUAGAAAGAAUAUAGAAAAACAUCCAAAUGUUUGUCUUGCCUCCAGCAGAUACCCAUUCGAGGCAAAUGUACGAAUCAAGAUGUUCCAUGAGAAGGCGUUGGGCUGAUCACUCGAUCGGAAGACCGUGCGCUCACACUUUCCAUACAUCUGGAUCAUCAGAUUCGCGAGAUAGACUCUCCUUCAAUGCUCGCUCUUGAAGAUCCUGGCAUGGGUCUUGCGAGCAGCGGCGAGAUCGCGAGUAUAGCCACAGCGCCGCAAGCGCACUGCGAACUCCUCCAUGGAUUGAUCAUCACGUGGGAGCUCUCG